GCGACGACGAGGCAGGAGUACACGAUGGUGUCCGUCAGGCCCCUGCCGGUGGCCGGCGGCGACAUGGUUGCCUGCCACCGCAUGCCCUAUCCGUACGCCGUGUUCGCGUGCCACGCAACCACCGCCGCCGUGUACGCGGUGAGCCUCGCCGGCGCCGACGGGACGACGGCCAAGGGGGAGGCCCUCGCGGCGUGCCACGCGGACGCGUUCCCGGGUAUCUCGCAGUCGGCGUACGAGAAGCUCGGCGUGGAGCCGGGGAGCGUGCCCGUGUGCCACUUCCUGCCCCAGGACAGCAUGCUCUGGAUGCGCAACUGAAAAUAAAGCUUGGCUUCAAAGUGGCGCGGCGCGAGCAAGUGCUACGUGUGUAUAAAAAACUAAGUGGCUGAUCACGUACUUGAUCGCCUGUUCUAUCGGCUACCGGAUCACUGAAAUGUAAUACAGUAUGUUGUGUGGGUGUGUAAUAAUCUCUAUACGUAAUACUAUCCAUGUACUCCCUCCGUUCUAAAUUGCAGGUUGUUCCUAAAUGCAUAGUGAAGGGUAGAAAAGGGCGACCAGAGGGGGUGAAUAGGAGCCAAUUCAAAAAACUCUCCAAUAAACUCGGCCUAAGUCCCAAAGUAACAUUCAACCCUCUCUUCUAGCUAUUAUCAAGAUCACGUAGUCACAGCGGACCUACUGACCUUUGGAACGAUGCUAGGAAGGCUCGGAAACAACACGGAAGUAAACACAAAAGAUUGAGGCAAAACUAAGCUCAAAACACCUUCCAUGUACCGAAACUUCCGAUCUCUUAUUGGAACUUCCGAAAGUGCGAUUGAAACUGUCUAGAAAACUCCGACAAGAGGUCCUCCACGGUUUUGUCGGAACUUCCAACCCUGUAUCGAAACUUCCAGCACCUAUCGGAUGUAUUGAGAAACUGCCGACAAAGGGCUCUCAGGCUUUAAAAAAUAAAUCAUCGGAACUUCCGGUUCGGUGUCGAAACUUCCUGCAACUCAGAAAAACAGCCCGGAAAGUUUAAGUCAACGCUUCAAAAUUCAAUCAAAUAACCUCCAAAAUUCAUGAAAUUUUAACCAUAGCUCUGUAAUUGCCUAGUGAGUCUUUGCCCAAAAGGUCUCCUCAAAAAUAUCAAUAUUUCAAUAUGGAUUUCACAGAAUAUGGUCAAUAACACAAAAGAGAGAGAGUUUUGGGAAACUUCAAAUUCAAACCGAAUCCGUGAGGGUUUGAGGAAGGAUCACAUCAAUGAUGCUCACAAGGGUCAUAGCAACAAUUUCCCCUAACAAACCUCGCGAGAUUUGGGCUCAAACUUGAAAAAUGAAAAUUCGCACGAAAAUUCCCCGAAAAUCCCAAAAAAGAAAAAGGGAGAAACAACAAGAUUUAGCCAUGGAUUUGAGACACAAAUUCGACUAAAUCACGAAGACAACAUAUUUACAAGAUGAGGACUAGCCUCCACCCUUCAUCCUCCCCCUAGGAUGGAGAAAUCAAGAGAAAAGAAGCUCUCACCCUCUCAUCUCUCUCUCUCCUCUCUCUAAGCACUUGGCUAGCCUCUAAGCAAAUGAAAAUAGGGUUCCAAGCACACCCCCAAACCAGCCAACUCCAAUAUAUAUAGUCCAUGGCUGAUGACGAAAAUACCCAUAUAGCUACAACUAAGAUAACCACCCAUGCAGGGGUAUUUUGGUCUAGUUUUUUGUAGAUGCAUCGGACGGACACGCCACCUUCACAACUUUACUUCGAGAUGAUGCCACGUGCCCUUCUUCUCAAAGCUCCAGCCGCACUGGGCUCGCCCCCGAUUUUGAGGCCCAAACUGGGAAACCUGCCUGCACGGUGGUUUUGAGGCCCAAACCACCCAAACCGUCCAUCUCCGCUUGGCCGCCAUGCGACCUCCUCGAUGUUGAUGCGUGUCCAGCCUCCACCAAGCCUCCUACUUGACUCGAUCGACACAAUUUCCAUCCGGUCAUGUUCUCUCACCCUUUCAUGCACCAUGUGGAUCGCCCAUGACUCUGCCUGGACUCCUCGGGUCCCUCGGUCCAAGCCUACUCGUGUUCCCCCUACACCGCCCUUGGUCCAUUGGCAUGAACCUUUCGCUUGACCUUCACCGCAUGCCGUCAGCCGCCAUGUCACAUCCUACACCUGCACAUCACAAGCCAAGAGCAACAUCAUUCCACACAACAUUGUCAAUCACUUAUCAUCCAAGGGUGACCACCAUUGAUCCUCAUAUAGAAAAACUAUGUACAUAGAAAAGGUAAAACGAUGUACAAUUUGAAAUGGUGGGAGUAUUCCGUAAAUAUAUGUAUACCUAUCGUGUUGUGUAUACCUGCUUGCGGUCCACGCAUGGGCUCCUGUGGGCUCAGCACAUAUGUGCAUGGUGUGCAAUUAAUCUCUUUCGCCUUCUCUACCCUUCGAUACAGUUGAAAAAGGUGACUCAGAGGCAAAUCGCUUCCCGGAGUGGUGUUCAUGGUGAGACCUUUUGCUUACUCUAUAACUCCUCUGUUGUCAUUUUUGUUGGUGGUGAGCCAGUGGCUUGGUCCUCCUGGUGGCUGGUGUAUGCGUGGUGCAUAGUGAGGGUGUUAUCUGUGGGAGGUUUUGGCAUCGACAAUAUUUUCUAUGCUCACUGCAUCCUUUGCAUUGGUGUCCUAACCUUCUUUGCGAUGUCAACGAUGGCGUCGAUUUCAUUGCAAAUGACAUGGCGGUCGGUGUUCAGAGGAGUCUCAACAGACAUAUACUAGCAAUGAUGGUCAGAUUUGUUAGAAGUUUAGGAUCAUCUAGGGUAGAUCAGUGGGUGAAUUGCUUACUCAGUUUGGUUCAAAUCAAGUAACAGCGAAUUUAGGAGAAGUAGGUGUUGGAGGUAUGCCCUAGAGGCAAUCAUAGAGAUGAUGAUAUCUGAUUGUAUACAUGAUUUGUAUAUUGUGUUCAUUGAAUAUCCAUUAAAGGCUACUUGAAUUGAUCUGCAAUUAUGUGAAUUGUAUAUGGAACUCUUUACUUGUAUGGUUAUUUUAAAAGUUGUCCCUAGUCGGAGUUCAUAUGUGGACACACAUGAAUAUUAGACUAGUACAUGUAUUAGUUGAUGACUAUGUUUCACAAGUCAUGAACAUGGAGAUGUCAAACUAAUAAUGUAGGCACAUGUAGAGACAUGUGCUAGGACUGACCCAACACAAGAAGUAGUUCUCUCUUUACACAACAAGUACGCUUUGUCCUUAGACCUGAGAUUGUCGCAUGUACUCAAGAUGUGAAUCGACUCACUUAGGGGCUAUCAAACGCUACACCGUAACAGGGUAGUUAUAAUGGUAGCUUUCGGAUUUGUCAGGAAGCAUGCUGUGAGGCAUGGUCAAUCAAGAUGGGAUUUGCCCCUCUCUGGUUGAGAGUGAUAUCUCUAGGCCCCUCGAGUGAUCGGAUCCAAAAAUGCAUGGCCAUGCUACGUACGGUUAAGAGUUAACCUACAAAGGGAUUCCGAAUCACAGGAUCGAGAAAGAGCGGUCGGCUUGGAGCUAGACCAAAUAUCGUGAGGCAAAGGGAAUAGCAUGUACAUGAUGUUGUGACGGUUCGUCUGAUAUGAUCUUCGUGUGCGUAUAAGAGUUGGCACGUCUUGCUAGAGGCCGCUACCGACUAUUGGGCCGAAUAGGAGUACUCGGGCCAUGUCUAUACGUAUCCGAACCCAUAGGAUCACACACUUAAGGGGCUAGAAGCCCAACUCGGAUAUGAUCCGAGUUGGAUCAGGUUUAGAAGUACUAAUGGGCCUCAGACCCAGAGGCCCGUCAGGAACCUCUAUAAAUAGAGGGGUGAGGCGCCCUAGGGUUUCAUCCCUUUUGGCCGAAACACAUCUGCCGCGCUUCCCACGCCCUCACUUGUUGCAACUCGCGGACCUAGCAGUUUGGCUUGCGACGUUUCCUCCCUGCACGUGUGGAUAUCUUGGAGGUGUUGCACCUGCAGCACUUGGAUGAGCCGCCGAUGAGCCACGACGAGACGCCGACUAGCCACGACGAGCCGACGACGAGCCACGGCAUGAGGAUGACCUUGUUGCACGUGGACGAGCUACUGAGGAGCUGCUCAACGUUGACGUAAUCGACUAUGUGUUGGACUACGCUGAUCGACUUCGCUGCCCUGACGCGAUUCUGCAUCUUCCGUACCAGUGCGUCGAGUGGUAAUCCCGUGAUCCAUAUACGGCAGUUUUCCUGGUUUACGCGGUAGAAAAAUUUUGAUCUGUGCUAGCGUAGCCUACCUCGUAUCCCUACACUCUCGCACAGCCGCAAGCUCACCCCGGCGCCGUCGCUGCCUCCGCUGGCUUUGGGCGCGAAGGGGUGGCGGACCCGGCGGGGGAGGGCGCGGACCGGAGGGGGAGCGAGCGGGUGCCGGCGCCGAGGAGGAGUGGGGGCGCCACGGCGGGCCCAUGCAGCGGCGCAAGGGAGCGGGGGCGGCAGAUCCGGCGGGCGUCGGCGUGGAGGAGGGAGGGAGCGGCAGCGAGGGCGUCGGAUCCGGUGGCACGAGGGGGAGUGGAGGAGGGAAGGAGCGACAGCGGGGUUGUGGAGGGAGCAGGGGCGGCACGAGGGGCGGGCCCAUGCGGUGGCAGCGGGUGGAAUGGCGAUGGUUGGCUAGGCGGGAGAGAGGGUGGGAGAGAGAAGGGGGGACAGGGCAAUAAAGGAGUGGUAGUGGGGGUCCAGGAUGGACUUUAGUUACUUUUAGGAGGGGGUGGAGCUCCUAAAGUUUUUAGUCCCUCCUAAAGUUUUUAGGAGCUUUUAGGAGGGGAUGUUUGGUUGUUUAGGCAAAUUUUAUCCAGAUUUUAGCUCCUAAAAACUAGGGGUAACCAAACAGACCUAAACCUACCAUUUCGAACUAGUUGCUGUUACCAUCCUUUACUAAUGCUCCUCGAAACUAUUACCACUUGGUAACUGGUACUAAAAGUUACAUUUAUUACCUGUUGAUGUAAUCAAUGGGUACUAAAAGAUCCUCUAGAGAUGAUAUUACAAAAAGCAUUUCUUAUCCAGGGUUGUAAAUAUUUUUUUGAUAACUUUUACCGACCCGUACUAAAGGAGACAGAUCUUCAGAACUUUUCAUCUUGGUUUUUUUUUACCGUUUCAAAAUUCUUGAAUUAAGGAGGGUUUGGAACCAAUACAUAAACCAUAAUCUCUAAUAGGGAGACCAAUAUGCUCUCCAUGCAUAUGAUGGAUGUGGUCAGGGGCGGAUCUAAGGCCCGGGCUGCUCGGGCUGCAGCCCGGGGCGAGACCAUGGAGUCCCUUUAAUAUAUGUGGUGUUUAGCCUAACAAAAUGAGAUUUAGGAGACAAGAUUAGACUGUUUUAGACGUGAUUCAACAGCUCAGCCCGGGGCGUAGUCCCGUUCUGGAUCCGCCCCUAGAUGUGGUGUUGGCAUUUGCAGGGACCGAUAUUACAUGGGUGGUGGUGCAGAGGCGGCAUGGUCAUGAGAGGUAGAUUGCUUGAAUAUAAUGUUACAUAGAGAUGCAUCGGUGGUGCGAUUGUGGAUUGCGUGGUGAUAGAAUAUUGUUGCGGUGGAGGUCGAUGUUAUGGGCGCUGUCGCGGCGUUAGUUGUUUUGAUGGCUCAUGUCGUGGUGGCCGACGAAGUCCACAAUGAGCCUGAUGAGCAGGUUCAGGCACGCAAUGCCUACAUGAAGCAGCUUGAUAAACUGGAUGAAUUGGUUUUUGUGUAAAUACUGCUAUGCUGUUGUUAAACUCAUAUUUUCUUUUUGUAGACAAUGAUCCAUAUGUGGAACAAUAGGUCAAAAACAUUAUGCUACCCCAUCACUCAAAUAUAGCUUUGUUCAGGUGAUCAUUUCCAUUCCUCCAGAGCUAAAGGUUCAUUCAGAAUUCGAUUACUUGCAUUCCAAAAAUGCUAAACCACAGCAUAGGCAGAGACUAAAUGGUGAGCAAAAUAAGCAAUUUAGUAGAAGGUAGGCUUUGUACGUACAACGAAGGCGUAGCCGGUGACGGUUGCCCAGGAGUUGCCGAGCGUGGCGCCGGCGAGGUGGACGUCGCCGAGGUGGCCGGAGAACAUCACCGACACCAGCGGAAUGUCGUAGUAGGCCAUGUUGGUGAGCACCAUCGGCACCGCGAAACGCAGAGCUGCGCCUGCGCCUCCUCCGUGUCAACUAUCCGGCCAAGCCAUGCUAACCAGCAUGGUAGCUGCUGCUCCCCUCCAACUUUGCCGGCGGCGAGGUCAUCGCCCUUGCAGCGGUCGCCGAGCAGCGGAGCCGACGACAUGUCGCUGGGUGGCGUGGAGCUACCGGCCGGGUAGACAGGUUCACCUCCUAGCUAGCUCGCUGAUAUUGGUAUAUAGGCUAUGGAUCAAGAAGUGCACCGUGGUUGUCUUGUGCAUUUCUAGCCGGAUGAACGUGGCGCAAAGUUGGUGGAUGGUGUGGAAUAUUUGAGAUCCGAUGGACGCAGAUUUUGUUAAUUUUUAAUUUGAAACAUUUAUGAAACUGGUCCAUGUUCAUUUAUGUCGAUUUGUGUGCGUUUGGUCUGCUGGCCAGCAAGAGCAGGUCAUUCUCACCCUUCCAUUGACCAGCAUCUCGAUCGAUCUUCUCACGUGCCUCGCAGCCAUCGCCGGUGGUUGACAGGAUUAUGGUGUCCUUAAUUAAUUGUUGUAAGUCGAUAAUCUUAAAAGAAAUAUGAAGUUGGCUGAGCUAUGUUGUUCUUGAAUACUCACUAUGUAGAAAAUCAUAUCAUUUUGAGACAGAUUUUUAUAUAUAAGUAUAUAACGUCAGUAAAAUUUAGAGUACUUAGGCAUCUUGUAAUGUUUACAAUUAUCCGUAAGAGAUGGCAAACUGAGAUGAGACGACAUGUGGCACAAUGUGUUUACAGGGAUGGAUGAGUGAUUAAUUAGAUUUAAUUAGACCGAUAUCAUAAAAUAUUUAUUAAUUAUAAAGUACUCCCUCUGUUUCAAACUAUAGGUUCUUCUGCAUUUUCUAGACAUACACUACAUCUAGGUAUAUAUAAAAAAAUAUGCACCUAGAAAAGUCAAAACGAUGUACAGGAUGGACGGAGUAGGUAAAUUUUUUGAGUGAUUAGUGAUAAUGCUAUGGUCAUGGAGCAAUCUUGUUUAAAUACCAUAUGUGGCCAAAAGGAAAUAAGAUACCAUGGGGAAGUUGAGAUACAUGAAUAGGCAAAGCCAAAUUAUGCCCUUGUUUACUUCCCUUCAAAAUCCCAACUUUGACACUAUGCAAAAAGAAGAUUCCCCAUCACAUCAAACUUGCGGUACAUGCAUGGAGUACUAAAUGUAGAUGAAAUUAAAAACUAAUUGCACAGUUUUGUUGUACUUUGCGAGACGAAUCUUUUGAGCCUAAUUAGUCAAUGUUUGGACAAUAAUUCACAAAUACAAACGAAAUGCUACAGUUGCGCAUUUAUGGCAAAAUGCCAAUUUUGCUACUCCCAAAUUGGGAACUAAACAAGGCCUAUAGCGGAAUGAAAACACAUAAUUGACGGAUGGUGGACUGACAAAUUUGACGAUCUCAGGCUCAACUUUGACAGACAAAUGCUCGAUUGUCUCCAUGACAUUAAUGUAGUGCCACAAAUGAUGUGGCACUAUAUUAAAUGAGAGGUAAAGAAAAAAAGAACAAACUAGAUCUCAUGCAAGAUCUCGUACAAGAUAGUGUUUCAACAAGAAAAUCAACGCACUACAAACUAUUGAAUUCUAUAUUGUGGGGGACUUGUGUCUACAUGAUUAGUGAGGCUGAAAGAUGGUUGGCGAACUGAGCGUAAUAGCUCAGAUAGUAAGAUUCAUUAUCAUGGAAUGAACAUACCGAUUAAGGAUCGAGUUCUUGACUUUGUAAUGAUGCUUGCGUUUUCUUAAAUUUAUUGUAGGAUUAACCGACGUUGUUCCAUCCACGUCCCACAUUUAUUUCGAAUACAAAUAUAAAUUUGGAUAAUAAAAUACAAAUUCAAAUGUAUCGUACCACAUUAGAAAAUACUAGAAACGAAUGCGGAUAUGCGGAUAUGGAUGUCCAUGUAUCACAUUUUUAACGGAUACGAGAGCCAGCGGCUAGGCAACUUGAUUAUUACCAUCCAUGAGCUCAUUAAUUGUGUGUCACUGCACCAACCGACAGUUAUUUUUUAUGUGGCUAUUACGGCGCCCCGCUUAAGAAACACGUGGUCCUAUGCACUUAUCUCGGGUGCAUUACUUGAUACUGCAGCGUGACUUCCGCACGGAGUUACCCUAGUACAGUACUCCAUGUGCGCAGAAGAGCACAAAAAAGGGAGCAGAAUUUCAACUUUGGUUAGCUGACCAAAUAUAGGAUCCUAAUUCAACAGUUCUUGGUAUGCCAAAUUUUUUCCAAAAAGUAUAGGAAUUACAAAACUCCAGGGAUUAGUCACUAGUCACUUCCACAUUGAAGUAACAAUACCGUAAAUAACGUGUCUAUAACAUGCAUGGCGCAGUCUUGCAGACAAAUUUAUGACCAAUAUUUGUUCAAAUUAAACUUUGCGGGGGCAACAUUUGUCUAUCAUAAUAUAAUGUUUGGGAUGGUGUUCUUAAUGAACUUCUUUUUUCACUCCACGUGUUUUUUUAUGAUAGGACCAUCUAAGACGUACCUAAUCUUCACGGACUGUCUUUGUUUUUUUAUAAAAAAAUAUAUUAAUUACAUAAGAAAUAUAGGCAACAUAGUUAAGAUACAUUGUUUUAUAUUGAUCUCAAGCAAAAUACAAUGGCAUUCUACAGAUUUCAAGGCGGAAGCAAGCAAAAUACAAUGGCAUUCCACAGAUUUCAAGGCGGAAGCAGGUUGUUGGUUGAGUGUUAGUUUGCUUCACAGGUUGGGGAUCGCCCAAAAAGAUGAUCACCCUCGAACUCAUCGUGCUCAGCGACAACAGAAGCUCAGCCCCUUAGGAUAAUUAAUCUCGGGUGAGGCCCCGUAACCUCAAACGGUGAACCUGAUGCGGAAAAGUAAUUUUAGCCUCGCUAUCCUAAGUUUUAACUCGAAGCCAGGAGGUAAUUACUAAUCCCCUGACUAGCCGAGUCUGACCUCGAGCACUCGAACCUAACCACGAGUGCUGAGUUGUUCGCUAUCUUGUGCAGAGUCGCUGGUUCAGAUCAGGAAGCAGGGCGCGAGGUUGAGCGCCUCUCGGACGCAAAGCUAAAGCGAUUGGAACUCCCGAAGCUAGGAUGGCUUUGGUCGCGAGGUCAAGGAGCGUGGAGGUAUUGGAAACGUGAAGGCGUGAUUUGUGGAACCAUGUGAGAGCGUGAAUCACGGAGCUGAUUGAAGACGUGAGAAGCGUGACCCUAAGAGGACACAAGUCAUACAAGUUACCAUCUAAAAAGACCUCUAUGUAAAGCAUAUUCUAGGAGUAGAUGAAUGAGGGUAAUUGUAGGAUGUAAAGUAUCCCCCGUAACACUAUAAAAGUGGAGUCCUACCCCAAUGUAAACUCACGUUCAUUUCAUAGAAUUGAAUUGCAAGUGCUGCUUUAACAUCAUUGUGUUCGAACUUCGCUGAAACCUGUUUUCCAACAUCACAGAUCGAUUAGCCAAAGUUGCUCUGUAGGAACUGAAAACGUUGUCACGUGGUUUGGCUGCAACGCAUACGACGAAUCUGGGUGGUUCAUGGCCUCGAAUUCCAAGUAAAAAAUAUAAGAAAAAGAAAUGUUGCAUCGACGUUUGGGAGAGAGGUGCUAAACUUUAGCACCCCUACUUUAGUCCAUUUUAAUCAUUUGUGCUCCCAAAUAGGUGAGCUAAAAUUGGUGGACUAAAUUUUAGCCCCCCACUAAUCCUUUAGUCACUUGAGGGUAGCUAAAAUGGACUAAAUGGACUAAAAAGUGGUCCCCCGGACCACUUUCCCCCUGCCCCCUCCCCUCUCUCUCCUCCCCUCAGUCUCUCUCUCUCCCCGCCUCCUUCGCCCGAACCGCCGCCUCCGCCUCGCCCGCCGGUCCUGCCGCCUCCACCUCGCCGCCACCGCCUCCGGCCAACCCCGCCGCCUCUGCCUCGCCGCCACCGCCGCCGCCUCCGGCCGGCCCCGCUGCCUCCAGCCGACCCCGCUCGCCCCCGCGACCUCCGCGCCGGCCUCGCCCGCCCCCGCGGUCGCCGCCGGCCCCGCCCGCCCUCGCGGCCUCCGCGCCGGCCCCGCCGCCCCCACCAGCGCCUCGAUAGGGCUCGCCACUGCCUCGCCGAUCCCCUCCACCUCGCCUCGCUGGGCCUCGCCGGGAUCCUCGUCGCGCCUCCGCCUGAGAUGUGCCACGAGCAGGAAGAGGACGGCGCUUUGAGAAGGAAGAGGAGGGGGUGAAGGAGAGAGAGAAAGCAGGGGUAAAUCUAUCUUUUGUCAACACAUGUGCUAAAAUUUAGUCUCCUUCCCACCCUGAAGGGCUAAAGUUUAGCACCCCAUUUGAUGGUGCUAAAAUUUAGUCCAUCUUCCUCCGGAACAGGACCGUAGAAGAGAUGAACAGUAGAUGAGAAUAGAGACAGCGAUACAAAUUAUAAAAUAAUGUUGAACUGUGGGUCGGUAGGGUGACACCGCCAACGUCGAGAUUCACAAAACCAUUAAUGACUCCGACAUUGAUUAUCGCGUAGUUUAGUAAAGAAUCCAUGCUCAGGCGGCCGACACCGCCAACUUCGACAUUCACAAAACCAUUAAUGACUCCGACAUUGAUUAUCGCGUAGUUUAGUAAAGAAUCCAUGCUCAGGCGGCCGCAUAUAUACCUGAAAAACGUAGCUGGAGCACUCCAUCGGACAAGCAAGUGCUUCACGGAGCAAAGCAAGCAGCCAUGGUGAGCAUGGAGAGCCGGAGCCUCCUCGCUGCUGCCCCAGCUCUGGCAGUCGCCAUCAUCUUCCUCUCUACCGCCGCACCGCUGGCGUGCGCGGGAUCCGUCGAGCACACAUUUGUCGUAAGUUUGCACACAAAUCGUGAAUAGACUUUCACCAAAUUCGGGCACUACAACACACUCGCUUAUGCUUGAUUUGUUGGAAAAUAUUGUAGGUGAAUCAGACGAAGAUGAUGCGCCUGUGCAAGGAGACACUGGUCACCGUGGUGAACGGGCAGCUCCCAGGGCCGACCAUUGAGGUCACAGAAGGAGACUCGGUGACUGUUCAUGUCGUCAACAGGUCACCUUACAACAUUACGAUCCACUGGUAAGCGAUGAUGGCAUAAAAAUAAGUUCAUUUCCACAGGUCACUUGACAGCAUUAAAAGAAGGACACUUCCGAUUAAACAUAUAAUGAGCUAGUUCGAUCGACCCCAGGUGACACUCGUGGCAGGCAACCGAUUUACAGGAUAUCGUAGGAGCUCAAUGUUGCCCGUUGUUGUUUAUUAUGUUAGGAAAGGAUUAGUUCCUAUAUAAUCUUUAUAUGGUGGUGUUGAUCUUUUUUUUUUCCAAUGUGGACUCUUAUUUUUAUUUGAGGUGUCCAGAUUGACUUGUAUCUCACAGUUGAUUUUCACCAUCGCAAUCUGGAUCCGCUCGAUAAACUAUGUAGAUUUGACGCAUUUCUAAUGAUUAACUUGGUAAUUUAAAGCCCCUGUGAUUAAACUUUGAGCCACCAUUUUCAGUCAACUACAAAGACAACUGUGUUUUUCAAAAAAAAAGUAAUAUUGUUAUUAUUAUCAUUUCUGAUUACAUAAAUGCAUUUUGUGGUUCCUGAUGCAGGCAUGGAGUAAAGCAGUUUCGGAACUGCUGGGCUGAUGGGGUGCCUAUGGUCACCCAAUACCCUAUCCAGCCGAACAAAGAUUUCACUUACCGGUUCAAUGUCGUCGGGCAGGAAGGCACUCUGUGGUGGCAUGCUCAUGUCCCCGGCCUACGGGCAACCCUCCAUGGCGCAUUCAUCAUUCGGCCAAGGCUUGGGGCUGAGUCAUAUCCAUUUCCUAAGCCUCAUAAGGAGAUCCCGGUUAUUAUAGGUUUGUGUACCUUUCUGAUAUUGAUUGCUGAUCAUCUGAGAACAUAAACGUUUUCUAGGAGCAAUUUUUAAUUGGGACCCAUUUGAGGAGAAGAAAAUGUGAAGUCCUCUGGGAAAUGAAUUAUGCAAUUUCGCCAUGCUUGUGCAACUACCUAGUAGAUGUGAAAUGAUCCUGACGAUUACAGGGGACUGGUGGGAGGAGGACCUUGCAGAGAUGGCCAGGAACAUGACGAAGGGCAUCUUUUUGUCUGAUGCUAGUGCCUCCACAGUCAAUGGCUUGGUCGGAGAUCUCUUCAAUUGCUCCGGUAAGCAGUUAUUUAAUUGAUGUACAGUAGCCCACUGGCUCUGUUUUAAUGUCAUUUAGUGCAUUUCAACAGCUGGUUUGACUGAUAAUUCGCUAGAAGAUGGGUGAUCGACUAUUUACAACUGUGUUAGGUGAAAAAAUAUUGGAGACUUGUCCAUGUCGAUACCGAUACAUCCUUUUCUUUGGCUCUGUUUUUAUUAUAAUUCAUCUUUCAGGUGUCACAAAAGAAGGAUAUGUUCUGGAUGUGGAGCCUGGCAAGACCUACCUGCUACGAAUAAUCAAUGCCGGCCUCUUCUCUGAGUUCUAUCUUAAGAUCGCUGGGCACAAGUUCACGGUGGUUGCUGCCGACGCUAACUACGUCAGCCCCUUCACCACAGAUGUCAUCGCAAUCGCAGCUGGCGAGACAGUGGAUGCCCUGCUAAUUGCCAAUGCAGCCCCUGGCAGGUACUACAUGGUCGCCCUACCCAAUCAGGCACCAUUGCCUGACACCCAAACUCCGGAGUACGCUACAAGGGGGAUGGUGCGGUAUAAGGUCAGCCACAGCACCUGCACUAGCUCAACGGCAGUGAGCUCAUGCCAGGGUACAGAAGAAGAAGAAAAAGGAUAUCGAGGUACAUCUGGUGAUGCUCCAAUAGUGCCUAAGAUGCCUGAUAUACAUGACACAAUUACAUCGUUCUACUUCCAUGGCAACCUGACCAGCCUGCACCACCAAGGGCAACUUCCAGUCCAGCAACAAGUCGAUGAGCGCCUCUUCAUCGUGCUUGGCCUCGGCACCAUCUGCAAGAAAGGCCAGUUCUGUAAGAGGGGUAGCAGUGACGAGGACCUCCUAGUGGCCACGAUGAACAAUGCUUCCUUCCAGCACCCCACAGCGAUACCGACACCACUACUAGAAGCGCACUACUACCACACCGGCCUCAUCAAUGCCACGACACAAGAGCUUCCGAAGAGGCCACCGAAAUUGUUCAACUUCACCGAUGAAGCCUUAAUCCCUACUGGACCCAAAGAGAUGCAGCUAGAGCCAACUCACAAGGCGACGUUGGUCCGGAGGUUCCGACACGGUGCUGUGGUGGAAAUAGUCUUUCAGAGCACAGCGAUCCUACAGGGCGACUCCAAUCCAAUGCACCUACAUGGGCAUGACAUGAUUGUGCUUGCACAAGGCCUUGGCAACUAUGAUCCAGCGAAGGCCGUGGCCACGUACAACCUGGUUAAUCCACUAGUAAAGAACACUGUGCUUGUCCCAAAUCUUGGGUGGAUCGCCAUCCGAUUUGUCGCCAAUAAUCCAGGUGUGUAUAAGAUUUGAAUCCUAGUUUCAUGUUGGAAAAUAUUAUGUGGAGACCCCUAUCUUGGUUUAAUCGUGGAAAGCCCUAGUUAACCUCCCUUGAAUAUAUUUUUGUAUAGGUCGUCGAUUGUUGGAAAUAGUCUUGUGAACUUGUUUAUUUGAAGUUUAGAGAAAAUCUUGCUAAAAGGUAGAAGAUUGGACUUCACUAGCAGCAUAACAUUAUGUUUGUUCCAUUUAUUAUUUUAGACCAUGAAAGUCCUCAAGACGUUCGAGUUUGCUGUUGUUAAUUAUCACGCCAUGCGUUAUAAGGCCUAAACUGUUGUAGGAAAGGAAAUAGCGCAAAAAUUUCUAGAGCCACAAAAACAAGUCUUAUGAUAAAAUAGCGCAAAAUUUUAUCAGUAAGAAAUUAUUCAUCUUCUCCUAAAUUUUAUUUCCUUCUACCUCAAAUAUAAGCCUAUCAAGGCUCAUGUUCUUCAAUUCAGGUUUGUAUUGCAAUGACCAUAUUGAAUAAUACUCAAUUAACAAAAUUAUUACGGUGCUUUGUUCAUUUAAACUAAAAAAUUGAUAACUUUAGAAAGGCGUCGGAUAAAAUAGGAAAGUGGAAUCAAAAUUAUGUCUGAAAGUUGUUUGACUACUAUUUGGUGCAUUGUGAGAAUGACCACUUACAUUUAUACUUGGUAUCUGAAGGAGUCAAUUUUUUAAGCAUUCCACGAGACUUCAAUAUAAUUAUCCAGAGUUGUAUUCCUAGGAAAUUAUUCAAUAAAAUUUAUUAUAGUGUUUUUCCGAUUCGCACCCAUAUUUGUUUGUCUAAGUUGCCUGCCAAAGCACCUCUUGGCGCCAAAAACUAACUUAUAGUCUUUUAUGUUGUACAGGGGUAUGGUUCAUGCAUUGCCACUAUGAGUUUCAUCUAUCGAUGGGCAUGGCAGCAGUAUUUAUUGUAGAGGAUGGACCAACAAAUGACACAUCUCUCCCUCGAUUGCCAGUGAAUUUUCCGACUAUUGGUCAAGACAUCAAUCUCAUGCCCAAUGACUUAUAUCUCAAAACUAUGAAAAGUUAAAACUAGUGCACAAAGGGAGUACCUGUGUAUGUAUGAAGACAACUCCUAUUACUUAUUUUGAAUAAAUGGUUAUGAAUAAUGAAUGUUCGUAAUGAGAUAAAUGUACAUAUAUUAUUAAUGUCAAACUUUAUUGAACUGAUAAAAUGUCAUGCGCCUAACAAUUUGGAUUGAAAAGAUGUCGAACUAGUCAUGGUUGCAUCGCCACCCGAACAAUACCUUAUCCAUGUCGGCCAAUCAGUACCGGCCGAAAACCAGAAGGGCCAUCUACAUUGGCUGAGCAGCCAAACCGCAGAGGGCUUGAAAACAAUGACCAGCUUCACUGCACAAUAUCUGUACUAGCAUGAAGAAGCCUGGCAUCGAUAAUAUCCGUGUCAUCCAUGCUGAGCUUCCAUUAGCAUUGGCACAGACAUAUAUCAUCUCUCAAGAAGCCCCGGAUAUGUAAAAGUAUGUUGUUGGCGCUACCAUUUUACUGACCACAUGACAAGCAUAUGCAAUUACUUGGAUUUAAAGUUGAAGCAUAGUUAUAUUUUUUUCACACGAUGUCGAGAAGGAGAAGACCGCAGGCACAAUUCAGUGAAUCAUGAUCAAGUAUUGUCGAGGAGGAGGAGAAGACCGCAGGCACUCAUUUGCUGAAGGAGUCACGUUUUGCAGGCAAUGCAGCAACUUAUUCGGAAGUUCAACACACUGAAUAGUAUUGUCUUCCUUGCAAACUCUUCCACAAGCUGGAGUGCUAACUUGCAUUCCAGGAGUGGGAGAACAUUCUAGAAAGACUGACAUUUUUUUCAGCAUGUUUGGUUCGGGAACCAUGCCCCCUAAGCCCUUUCAUGCAUACUUCUCCAAUAAGAGAAUCACUCCAAGAUGAAGGAACAUCUUGCUCGGCGUCCUCGGAAUUUUGGUGCAAAAAUAUUUGUAAUAUCUUCUGGUCAUGAGCUUCUCGUCAUCCACGAUCAUCAAAAUAUUAUCGUGGUCUGUAGGCUGUAAUGCUCACACGAUUGGUCCCCCGAAAGCUAUGAGUAGCGAUGGGUAGAAUACGGAAAUUCAUGACGCCAUGCACGAUCCAUAGUCCCAGGCCUUCCCAGAUCUAGUGGAAUGACAUCACGAAUCAUAACAUCACCGUGUCCACAUAAUGAAAACUUCACCUUCACCUUGUGUACAUAUAAACCGCGGUUAUUUAUCCAUGAAAUAUGUGGCCUCGUAUGAUGCAUCCGCGACAGUCCCAAAACAUUCACAAGACAUUCACUUGCAGCAUUGAUGACAGAGAAUUGAUCCACAAUCGUAGCACAUGUACCCGCAACAACUUCACAGCGAGUGUAGCACAUGGAAAGAUCAGGAUCCACGGUUGGAUCCUGCUCAUAAUUUUGCAAUGCAGUGCCCAGAAUCGUGGUAGCAAUCAUAAAAAAAAUCUCAAAUAGUAAAGUUAACAGCAGAUAUACCGUGACCAACUUAGCAAAACUGAUACGACCUGAUAAGGACAUGCUUGCUGUGCACAGGAUCGAUCUGUCUCAAUCUUUGACGGUACUAAUCACUUACAGAAUUUAGUCUCAAUAGUAUGGCUGUCCAAUAUAUGCUCCCUAUCUAAAUUCAGUUGUCGUGAUUAUUUGCAGACUAGGAAUAGUGAUAGACUAAUCUGAAAAUACUAGCAAAACAGAUACUGCACAAGAUAUAGCUUCUUGUACAGAGCCAAUUAACUGGAAUAUGAACAACAGCAUUCAUAGCUAUCUUCUUUUAAAUCAGGCAACAGCUGGACACUCUUACAGCCACAAGAUGGAAAUCUCCACAGACACGGCUCAAAUUAGCCUGACUAAAAUGCACUUAAAUCAGCAAGCCAAUUUGGUCGUCCGUCAGAUUUCAUCUGAUAAACCACUUACUCAGGAUCGAGAAGCAUUGCUCACACGAAAGUAAGUGGCUACGAGAUUACAACAUUCCCAUCACAUUAACAUAGUUCAACAACUUAUUACAUCAGAGUUUUUGAAAUUCAAAUAGAAUUUGCAAGAUUUUAAACAACAAAAAGUAAAACGAGCGGAAGCUACACGUCGAUACACAAUACCAUGGUGAAGCCGACCAUGAUAUCAAUGAUCCUUGUCCCCGCCGUCUGAGGAGGUAUCCCACUCGGCUGUCCAACCCGGAGGGAGCUAGGUAGACCAAGUAAGACUAGCACCCAAAACAACAGCAAACCUGAAACAGAUAGCCACAAGCAAGGUUGAGUAUACUAAUACUCAACAAGGCUUACCCGUCAGGCGGUAACUACUCCACCGACUCCUAGACAUGCAAGGCUUUUUGGCGGUGGGUUUGUUUUUGCCAAAAGCGACUAGAGUUGGUCCUUACUUUCAAUAUUUUAGCUCAGAUUCUAAUUUCAUUAACCAGUCUAGAUUAGCAACUUAUACUAAGCAAGCAUUGUUUCCAAACAAUUAAAGAACAAGCAUCAAGAUUAAUAUCAUCAUCAUGUUCCAUCUUUACUCAGUGCGGAAUAGCGAUCAAACAGUCUCAAACUGUGAGAGGCAGAUGAAUCGAUUCGAAUUUAUUAACCAUGCAUGACAAACCUAAUCGAUUCAAAGUUGCUUACCGAUCUACCUUGUUUGCUAGCGGUGAUGCUAAAGCUCACUAGUAGACUUGUUAGUUGUGGAUCCUGAAUCACUAAGUAUCAAUAGAGGGAUAUUGAUUUUAGUGGGAGUAGAUUCUGUUAAAUAGUUUAAUGUCAUUUGCUCUGUCAAGGAUACGUUUGUCUUAGUGUAUUUUGCAUUACUUUUGUUGUAGAUUAAAUGGCACCUAGCAGCACCACACCAUUUGCUUUGCGUUCAGUCCUUAAGAAGGACAAGUUGAAUGGAACAAAUUACUCGGAUUGGAUCCAUAACCUGAGAAUAGUUCUCAGGGUUAAGAAAAAGGAAGAUGUUCUAGACAACCCACUACCAGAAGAACCUGCUGAUGAUGCACCUGCUACUGUUAAGAAUGCUUACAAGAAAGCAUGUGAUGCUAACCUCGAAGUAAGCUACCUUAUGUGUACUUGCAUGGAACCCGAGCUGCAGAUGCAGUUAGAAACAAACCAUGAGGCGCAUGAUAUGAUUGUGGCACUUAGAGACAUGUUCCAAACACAGGCUAGGACUGAAAGGUUCAAUGUGUCUAAGGCCUUUGUGGAGAGCAAGCUAGCAGAAGGCGCAACAGUAGGACCACACGUAAUCAAGAUGGUUGGUUACACUCAACGGUUGGAGAAGCUGGGCUUCCCACUGGGCCAAGAGUUGGCCACUGAUUUCAUUCUUUCAUCUCUUCCGUCCAGCUAUGGGAACUUCAUCUCGAACUACCAUAUGCAUGGGACGAAGAAGGGUCUGAAUGAACUGUGUGGCAUGCUUAAAACAGCAGAGGCUGACAUUAAGAAAAGCGCUAGUAGUAGUCAUGUGAUGGCUAUACAGAACAAGCCUAGCUUUAAGAAGAAGGGCAAUUCUUGGAAGAAGAAGGGCAAGGCUGGAACGUCCAAGCCAAACCCAACGCCCAAGGUUAAAGCUGGACCUGGACCUACUCCAGACAAAGAGUGUUUUCAUUGCCAUGAACUUGGUCACUGGAAGAGAAAUUUGCAAGCAGUACCUAGCUUCGUUGAAGAAUGGCGGAAGUAAGAGUACUUCCACCUCAAGUACGCUUGUUAUUAAUGUUAUAGACAACAUAUUUCUCGCUGAUACAAUUAUUAAUUCCUGGGUAGUUGAUACCAGAUCGGUUGCUCAUAUUUGCAAUUCAAUGCAGGGAAUGAUAAGAAGUAGAAGCAUGGAAAGAGGAGAAGUUGAUUUCCACGUAGGGCAAUAAUGCAAGAGUUGUUGCGUUGACCGUCGGGACGAUGCAACUCCACCUCCCGUCAGGAUUUAUUAUGGAGUUGAAUAAUUGUUAUUUCGUUCCUAGUUUAAGUCAAAACAUUUUGUCUCCUUCAUGCUUGAUGAAGGAUGGUUAUUCAUUUGUGAGUGAAAAUAAUGCUUGUGUGAUCUCUAAGAAUGAUAUGUUUAUGUCUUUUGCACCCAUUGUGAAUGGAUUAUUUGUUUUAAAUCUUAAUGGUUCACCUGUCUGUAAUGUAAGUGUUAAAAGGUCUCGGCCUAAUGAUUUGAGUUCCACCUACUUGUGGCAUUGUCGUUUGGGUCAUAUAAGUGAAAAAUGCAUGAAAAAGCUCCAUUCUGAUGGACUUCUAACUUCGUUUGAUUUUGAAUCAUACGAGACAUGUGAGGCUUGCUUGCUAGGCAAGAUGACCAAGACACCUUUCACAGGUUUUCCUCAGAGAGCAGUAGACUUGUUAGAACUCGUACAUAGCGAUGUAUGCGGACCAAUGAGCACGACGGCUAGAGGAGGAUUCUAAUACUUCAUAACUUUCACUGAUGAUUUUAGUAGAUAUGGCUAUAUCUACUUGAUGAGGCACAAGUCUGAAACCUUUGAAAAGUUCAAGGAAUUUCAGAAUGAAGUUGAAAAUCAGCGUGGCAAGAAAAUUAAGGCCUUACGAUCUGAUCGUGGAGGCGAGUAUUUGAGCCACGAGUUUAGCAAUCAUCUAGAGAGUUGCGAAAUUGUUCCACAACUUACGCCGCCUGGAACACCUUAGAGAAACAGUGUAUCCAAGCGACGUAAUCGAACUUUGUUAGACAUGGUUCAAUCAAUGAUGAGCCAGUUGGACCUACCAUUAUCAUUUUGGGGAUACGCUCUAGAAACAGUAGCUUUCACACUUAAUAGGGUACCAUCUAAAUCCGUAGUUAGGACACCAUAUGAGAUGUGGACCAAAAAAGUUCCCAGUUUGUCUUUUCUAAAGAUUUGGGGAUGUGAAGUGUUUGUCAAGCGACUUUAGUCGGACAAGAUCACAUCCAAGUCGGAUAAGUGCAUUUUUGUGGGAUAUCCAAAGGAAACUUUAGGAUAUUAUUUCUACAACCGGUCAGAAGGCAAAGUGUUUGUCGCUCGGAACGGGGUUUUCCUAGAGAAAGAGUUUCUCAAAGGAGAAAAGAGUGGAAAGACAGUGCAUCUUGAAGAAGUUCAAGAUGAGCUGAUCAGGCAAGAAUCAAUGAGUGAAGCUAACGUAGCAGAACAAGUUGAGAUACCUAUGGCAAGAGAAGCACCACCACAACCACGAAGGUCGGCAAGGCUCCGCGAAAUGCGGGAGAUAUUAUUGUUGGACAAUGAUGAGCCUGCGACAUAUGCAGAAGCAAUGAUGGACCCAGACUCCGAAAAAUGGCAAAGUGCCAUGCAAUCCAAAAAAGAGUCCAUGGGAGACAAUCAAGUUUGGAACUUGGUUGACCCGCCUGAUGGUGUUAAAGCCAUAGAGUGCAAGUGGAUCUAUAAGAAUAAAAAGGACAUGGAUAGAAAUGUUCACAUCUGUAAAGCACGACUUGUCGGAAAAGAUUUUCGACAAGUUCAAGGAGUUGACUACGACAAGACCUUCUCGCCCGUAGUGAUGCUUAAGUCCAUUCGGAUUAUUCUAGCUAUAGCUGCAUAUUUCGAUUAUGAGAUAUGGCAGAUGGAUAUCAAGACAGCUUUCCUGAAUGGAAACCUAGCUGAGGACAUGUAUAUGAUACAGCCCAAGGGUUUUGUCGAUCCAAAAAAUGCUGGAAAACUAUGCAAGCUUCAGAGAUCCAUUUAUGGAUUGAAGCAAGCAUCUAGGAGUUGGAACAUUCGUUUUGAUGAAGUGGUCAAAGGCUUUGACUUCACCAAGAAUGAAGAAGAGUCUAGUGUUUACAAGAAGAUUAGUGGGAGCUCUGUAGUAUUUCUAAUCUUAUAUGUGGAUGACAUAUUGCUGAUUGGAAAUAACAUUCCUAUGCUUGAGUCCGUAAAGACUUCACUGAAAAAUAGUUUUUCGAUGAAGGACUUAGGGGAAGCAGCAUAUAUUCUGGGCAUUAAGAUCUAUAGAGAUAGAUCGAGAAGGUUUAUAGGAUUAAGCCAAGAUACUUACAUUGACAAAGUGUUGAAGCGGUUCAGCAUGGAAGAGGUGAAGAAAGGGUUCUUGCCUAUUUCACAUGGCAUACAUCUCAGCAAGACUCAGUGUCCUUCGGCUGCUGAUGAGCGGGAUCGCAUGAGUAGAGUGUCAUAUGCCUUGGCUAUUGGAUCUAUCAUGUAUGCAAUGAUCAGUACUCGCCCAGAUGUUUCAUAUGCGCUAAGUAUGACAAGCAGACACCAAUCUCAUCCAGGUGAGAGUCACUGGACAGUGGUGAAAAACAUUAUUAAGUACUUAAGAAGGACUAAAGAUAUGUUCCUCAUUUAUGGAGAUGAGGAGGAGCUCGUUGUAACAGGUUACACCUAUGCUAGUUUCCAAACUGACAGAGAUGAUUCAAAGUCACAAUUAGGAUUUGUGUUAACAUUAAAUGGUGGUGCUGUUAGUUGGAAGAGUUCCAAGCAGGAGAUAGUGGCCAAUUCUACGACAAAAGCUGAGUACAUUGCGGCUUCGGAAGCCGCGAAGGAGGGUGUUUGGAUAAGGAAUUUUCUUAUUGAGGUUGGUGUGUUACCAAAUGCAUCCAGCCCAUUGAAUCUCUACUGUGACAACAAUGGGGUAAUUGCGCAAGCAAAGGAGCCAAGGAAUCACCAGAAGAACAAACACGUUAUGCGGCGAUUUCAUUUCAUUAGAGACUUCGUUAAUCAGGGUGAGAUCAAGAUAUGCAAAAUACAUACGGAUUUGAAUAUUUCUGAUUCGUUGACAAAACCUCUCCCGCAAUCUAAGCAUGAUGCGCACAUAAGAGCUAUGGGUAUUAGAUAUAUUCUAGAUUGACUCUAGUGCAAGUGGGAGACUGUUGGAGGUAUGCCCUACAGGCAAUUAUAGAGAUGAUGAUAUCUGAUUGUAUCCAUGAUUUGUAUAUUGUGUUCAUUGAAUAUCCAUUAAAGGCUACUUGAAUUGAUCUGCAAUUAUGUGAAUUGUAUGUGGAACUCUUUACUUGUAUGGUUAUUCUAAAAGUUGUCCCUAGUCGGAGUUCAUGUGUGAACACACAUGAAUAUUAGACUAGUACAUGUAUUAGUUGAUGACUAUGUUUCACAAGUCAUGGACAUGAAGAUGUCAAACUAAUAAUGUAGGCAUAUGUAAAGACAUGUGCUAGGACUGACCCAACACGAGAAGUAGUUCUCUCUUUACACAACAUGUACGCUGUGUCCUUAGACCUGAGAUUGUCGCAUGUACUUAAGAUGUGGAUCGACUUUCUUAGGGGCUAUCAAACGCUAGAAGCUAGACCAAAUAUCGUGAGGCAAAGGGAAUAGCAUGUACGUAAUGUUGUGAUGGUUCAUCUGAUAUGAUCUUCGUGUGCGUAUAGGAGUUGGCACGUCUUGCUAGAGGCCGCUACCGACUAUUGGGCCGAGUAGGAGUACUCGAGCCAUGUCUAUACGUAUCCGAACCCAUAGGGUCACAUACUUAAGGGGCUGGAAGCCCAAUUUGGAUAUGAUCCGAGUUGGAUCAGGUUUAGAAGUACUAAUGGGCCUUGGACCUAGAGGCCCGUCAGGAACCUCUAUAAAUAGAGGGGUGGGGCUCCCUAGGGUUUCAUCCUUUUUUGGCUGAAAACACAUCUGCCGCGCCUCCCACGCCCUCGCCUUGUUGCAACUCGCGAACCUAGCAGUCCGGCUUGCGACACUUCCUCCUUGCACGUGUGGAUACCUUGGAGGUGUUGCACCUGCAGCACUUGGACGAGCCACGACGAGUCGACGACGAGCCACGAUGAGCCGACGACGAGCCACGGCACGAAGACGACCUUGCUGCACGUGGACGAUCUACUGAGGAGCUGCUCGACGUCGACGUGAUUGACUACGUGUUCGACUAUGCUGAUCGACUUUGCUGCCCCGACGCGAUUCUACAUCUUCCACACCAGUGCGUCGAGUGGUAAUCCCGUGAUCCAUAUACGGCAGUUUUCCUGGUUUACGCGGUACAAAAAUUUUGUUUUGCGCUAGCGUAGCCUACCUCGUAUCCCAACAGUAGGUAGAGAGAGAGAGAGUAGAGAUAAAGGGAGGGGUCGAUACCUUCUGGUAGGCAGAGGAGGUACAGGAGGAAGAAGCUGCCAUGGCAGCAGGUACGCAGUGUGGGGCGGCAAAGUCCAGUGUGACGGUGAAGGCGAUGGCGCUUCCCGUUGCUCACAGCGCCCCUCUCGAUCGGUCUAGGCUUAGGAACUUCGAUGGUGGGCUGGCAGCUCAGAUCAACCUUGUGUCUUGUGCCCCAGCCCCCACCAUCCUUUUAUGGCGCUGCAUGACGGGGGGCCAUCUGCUAGAAGAACCAGCUGAGCGCCUCUGAUUAGGGCAUGGAACAAGGGCCCAAUUAGCCAUUGGGCCAACUGGUGGAGAUCAAAUUAACAUUCUCCCCCUUGAUCUCACCUUAUGACUUAAACUUAACUUACUUUAUCUUGUUCCCAUUCCAUCACAGAUCAGUGCAUAGAGCAUGCCUCAUCGUCACGGUCAGUUGCCAUUAGAUUUAACAACUACAAUGCACCUCUCUAUUUCGAAACAGAUACUCAACUAGGCCCUUAGUAUCCAGAAAUCAUAGGCUUUCCUGUAAACCCAUGUUGACUGUGUGUUCUCUAAACACACUGGGUGGUAAGCCUUUGGUAAGUGGAUCCGCAAGUACUUGCUUGGUACUUAUACGCUUAAUGCUUUCUGAAUGAUUCUGGAUUUCCUCCUUUACAACAUAUAACUUAAUGUCAAUGUGUUUGGCAGCACACUUGAUUUGUUGUCAUAGGAGUGAAUUACUUUAAAUGGUUAUUGUUGCUGACAACCAUUGUUCAUUCCGGGUACAAGUUUUCUUAACCACUUUUGCCUGUCCCUUAAGCCUCAUAACAAGUUAUACUAUAGGUAUGCAUCAUUGAUGAUACCACAACUGUUUCUGUGGAGCUUUUCCACAAUAAAACUCCAACUGCGAGUGUUACCAACUACUAUGGAUUUCACUACACAUCUUGCCAAAACUAAACAUUUGUACCCACAACUAUUUGAGAGUACUUGUUCUUUCUUACUCAUCAUGAGGCCUAUGAUACUUUGCAAAAUUGCAAGACAUUCUUAACUCCAUUCCAAUGAUUUAUAUCUGGACUGGGCUUCUGCCAAAAUAUCCUGAAUACGUGAGCUAUGUCAGGGUAAGUUCUUCCUUAUGCACUUAUUAAGCUUCCAACAACUAAACAUAUGGAACCAUGUACAUUUGAUCGAUCUCAUAUUGGUUCCUGAAACACUGAAAGUUGCCAUAACUAUUACCCUUGGACUGGGCUUCUGCCAAAAUAUCCUGAAUACGUGAGCUAUGUCAGGGUAAGUUCUUCCUUAUGCACUUAUUAAGCUUCCAAUAACUAAACAUAUGGAACCAUGUACAUUUGAUCGAUCUCAUAUUGGUUCCUGAAACACUAAAAGUUGCCAUAACUAUUACCCUUGACUAUAGGAGCAGGCGUAGGCUUACUCGCAUGCAUACUUUAUUUCUUUAGGAUCUUUUCCAAGUAUGCCUUUGCGAUAGAACUAAUACCCCUUUUCUUCUAUCUCGGUGAAUUUCAAUUCCUAGAACGAACGACGCUUCACCGAGAUCAUUCAUAUUGUAACUUGAGAACAAAAACUUCUUCUUCCAUAACAGAUUAACAUCACUACUAGUGAGUAGGAUGUCAUCUAUACACAGGAUGCGGAAAAUGAAUUUUCCAUUCCUGAACUUUGCAUAAAUGCAAUUGUCCUCUACAUUCUCUUUUAAACCCAAACUUUCUUAUUGCUUUAUUAACUUUAAUUGCUACAGCCUAGAGGCUUUCUUUAAUCCAUAAAUGGAGUUCUUCAGGCGGUAUCCCAUACGUUCUUUUUCUUCCACAACAGAACCUUCGGGUUGUGUCAUGUCAACAUUUUUCAUACAAAUCUCUAUCGGGGAAUGCUAUCUUUACAUUCAUCUGAUGUAACUCUAAAUCGUAAUGUGCCACGAACGCCAUUAUGAUUCUAAAGGAAUCCUUGCAUGAGACUGGAGAAGAACUCUCAUUAUAACUUAUUCCUUCUCUUUGUGUAAAGCCUUUCGCCACAAGUGGCACCUUAUAUCUUUCUCUAUUCCCUUUGGAAUCACAUAUUGUAUUGUAGACCCAUUUACAGCCUACUGUUUUGACUCCAUUAAGAAUUUCUUUUAAGUCCCAAACCUAGUUGGUACUCAUCGAUUUCAUCUCAUAUUCUGUAGCCUCUUGCCAUUCAGAUGAGUGAGUGCUUCUCAUGACUUCUUCAAAUGAGGUAGGAUUACCCUCCAUUUGAAUUUCUUCACUAACAUAGACUUCAUAGUCUGGGGUCUAAGCUACUCGCACGUCUUUCAUAUGGGACUGUUGUUGCUCUUCAUUGUCAGGAGACAAUUGACUCUAGAGUCUCCUGUAUAACAAGAUCCUUGUUUAUAUUAUUUAUCUUCCUUGAAUGGCUAACAACAAGUGUUGUAUAAGUCAUACAGCAUCAACAGGUAUUGAGAAAACUUGUUGCUCUUGAAUCAUCGAAGUGGACAGCCGUCCCAUUUCUCUUCAAGUCUUAGGUCUCUACAUACCAUGCUCCCCCAAAUCAUCCCAUCUUCUGAAAAGAUGGUGUAUCUUCAAAUUCCUUAUUUAGGUUUAAUCUAUUAGAGCCUCAUAUGGCGCUUUAAGCAACGCAUUAAUAUCUUUGAGGCUCGUCUAGUAUGAAUAUUGGCUGACUACGCUAUCUUCCUAUCGGAACUGUGAAAAGUUCAGGAAUUUAGCUACGGGGUAUCAUUAUUAUGACCGUUGUACUCUGCUGACAGUCACAUUCAUCUUUUAUAUAUCACUUUUGCUCUCAAUGCAUACUAUGCAUCGCAUUAUGGGGAGAGUAUCUUUCUUAGUUGAUCUUACAAUUCAUUCUCCCCCUCGAGAUAUGGCAUGAACUUUAUUGCCAUAAUUUCGAAAACUAUUUAGAACUCUUGUGAACGAGAAGGCAUUCAUGAGGUACUUCAUUCACAUGAUUAUGUCAUGCAGACAAAGUUAUUUCUUAAUUCAUAUGAGGAGUACACUUUUCUCAUUCCACUUCAAGAACUCAACAAAGUCCUUUAUUAGCAGUACUCAUGCUUGUAUAUCUUUCUUAUAUUUGGUUGGUUUUCAACUUCCUUUUGUCCUUAAACUCAUUUCAUGACAAAAUGAUACUACAAGGAAGACUUAAACUUUUCUCUUUCCUUUCGAUCUACGUCUAAUGACUCCAUCUUAAUGGCCAUAUUAUACAUUCAAAAUGUACAUUCCACCAUUACUAGAUUACUCCGCAAUGAGUUACUCAAUUAGAGUGCCCGCAUACGUUUGUAGAGAGUCAAUUAACCGACUCUCCACCUUGUUUUAGCAUUGGUGUGAUGUGAUUUUGGGAUUGCACCCCUUAUGGCCUUUGACUCAUUGAGUGUUUAAUGACCAUGACACAGUAGAAAUGCACGGUCAAUACUAGGAUAGCAUAAGAGCUACCCCAAACCUCUCUCGCUGUGCGGGAUACACUAAAACCACAUGAGUCAUCACAAACUUCUCCCGCUAUGCAGGAUUUGAAUAGCAUAAGAACUAUGCCAAAACUUCUCCCGCCAUACGGGAUAAUUCCCUAUAAGGGACAUAAGAACCAGAGUUAGCUCUCAGAACAUGGGAAGUGCUUUGAACAUUCAAUAUAUCAAAUUCAGAAAUAAAUCUGAACACUCUGUAACACACAUGUUUAAUCCGACGUUGGUCAAAUUAGACAUGCAUCUUACUUAUUGCAACUCUCAUCAUAAUGAUAGAAAAUCCAUAUUCUAUUUUCAAUAACGAAAACUUAGACAUGAUGACCAAGAACAUUCACUUAUACUUCAUUUUCCAAAUAAAUCUUCCCGUUGGUUCCAAUUUAAUCAGAAAAUUGAUGAACUAACAAUAAUAGAAGCUCUUGGUGAGAGAAAAACUUAAUUCAAUUUAGCCCAAAACAGGCUUAACUCAUGUCUUUUUGUUCACAUAGCCUAGCAUUGCAUUCCAUUGGCAGCCGAGUAUUUUAGGAUGGAGGCUAGAGGGAGUAUUAUAUAUUUUUAGAUUGUGCUUCUUGCUUUGAAAUGGCCUACCAGUGACCAGGAAGGCCUAAGCUUUUGCCGCUGCAUUCUGCCUGGCAAAAACAAGUUCUUGAUUAUUUAUCGGAAUUUCGUCACAUUGGGUGGCCUCGCCGCUUCGAACUUGUGUAGCUAGUCUUCCGUGUGCAGGACAUGCAUUGCACGAUGUAAUGAUUGAAUUUAUUUAUUUAUUAAUUAAUCUAAGAUGCACAAUUCUUUUAUAAAAAAAAAAUCUAAGUUGACAUGUGAUCUGACUUCGGACAAAUCAUCCUCGAGAAACAUGCAAGCUAAGCUUGCGGUCUUAAUUAAGUAGAGCGUUGUAUCCUCGCCGAGUGAGGAAACCAGGUGAGGGAGCGAGGCUGGAUGUCCUUGUCCACCUGGAUAUCUUGACGAUGCUCUUCGUGAGGUGGCGACAUGCAAGCCGUCCAGCCAAGAAGUUCAGAGUAGCUUCUACCCAAUGUUUUUUUUUUUUUGGCUCCGUGACAAUAGUGCGCAUGAACUCAAUCGAUCACCACCGCUUGCAUGUCUUUGGCUAAAUGUUCAUAUCUGCAGAUGCUUUUCUUACGGAGCUCUUGCCGCACUCUAUGCGGAUGGCUGUUUUCAUUGCCCACAAACCGCACAGAUAUUCAUCAUCCUAUUCCUCUCCCAUCUCUUCCUUCAUUUUUCUGGUUCAAUUUCCAUCUUUGCACCAUUUAACUGAGGCUCAUCCAGCUCGUCCGCAUCCUGUGCUCCUUGAAGUACAAUCCCGUAUACCAUGUGCUCCCUGAACUCUUCGUUAGUACGUGUUAGCACUUUGUAAUCGAGAUUCAUGUUCGAUGAAUCAGUCUGUUUAUAGGACUCAAUCACUAAUUUGUUAGGCCCGUAUUUUUAGGGCUGAGCGCGUGGCCUUACCCUUAGCGUGCAGGUUGACGUCGAUGCAGUCCGGAUACCCAGAAGAAGGUGCUGAUUCAGCCGAUCGAGGAGCUCCUGAUGAAAAUCGCUUAACCGAACAGUCCACCCAAUCACGUCUUGCGCAUGCUCACAAUGCUGAAUUCCCCAUCAUGAACCUGGCCCUAUGGAUGAUGAUGGGGCGGCUGUCAUGAUACAUGACUGAAGGAGGUCUUUGGCGUGGAGCACCUUGAACAUAUAGCCGAUGGUAGGCUUGUCGUCUAAAUAAGGCAACAACUGGCCAUGUCUGUUGCUUGUAAUACUACUUAAACUCUUGCUCUUUCAAAGCUGUUAGAGUUGUAGUCAUGAAUCUUGCAAGCACUGCUAGAGAACAGAGCAGAGGUGCAGAGGGUGAUGAGUAGUGGGUGAAUGGUUAACCCACCUCCUCUCCGUAGUAGCCGUCCAUGGCGCAGUGGUGAUGGCGAUGUUCUCGUCCGGGUAGAUGGCCUCUGGUCCCACUCGGCCCCGUUGGUGAAGGAGAAGAUCAGGCUCCUGGCUGCAGAAAACAUAUACAAACAACAACAGCAACAUGCCUGCUCGUGCUUCCUAGGAUAAGAUGAAGGUGAGUUGAAACUUGAAAGAAAGAGAGGCCAACGGGCGCCGGCGACGCACCGUGCUGCGGGACGCGUAUCCUGAUGGAGUAGAUGGGCGGGUCGACGCUGCCCCUGACCUGCAGCGUCAUCUGCUUCGGCUCUUUGGGCUGGUUGAAACCGCCGGUGAACGCCACGCCGAACACGUCGUUCGGGGACAGCUUCGUCGCCGCCGGGUUGUAGAACAGGGUCGUCAAAGACUAUUUUUAAUUUAAAUUUAUCUAUUUAUUAAUCGUAUUAUUCAGGAACUCUAUGGGCUAGUUUAGACCAUUAGAUCAUCAUAAAAUCCAACUAUUCAAAUUCUUCUCUUUUUUAAUUAACGUGGAAAUUUCUAGAUCCUCUUGACGAACGUGGUUGAUUCUUUUAAUAUUAUUACAUUAAGAUAAUAGAUAGCAGAGAUGAAAUCAUAAUUUAUUUAAGGCCUGGUUUGGUUCCUCUUACUUAUUUUUAGCACUCGUCACAUCGAAUGUUUAGAUACUAAUUAGGAGUAUUAAAUGUAAACUAUUUACAAAACCCAUUACAUAAGUGGAGGCUAAACGGCGAGACGAAUCUAUUAAGCCUAAUUAGUCCAUGAUUUGACAAUGUGUUGUUACAGUAAACAUUUGCUAAGGAUGGAUUAAUUAGGCUUAAUAGCUUCGUCUCGCCGUUUAGCCUCUACUUAUAUAAUGAGUUUUGUAAAUAGUCUACAUUUAAUACUCCUAAUUAGUAUCUAAACAUUCGAUGUGACAUGUGCUAAAAAUAAGCAAAGGGAACCAAACACCCCCUAAAUGAAACCAUGUGUAUGCGGUUUCUAACUCUUUGAUGAAUCUUAGAAUUAAAUGCCACGUAAGUCUAUGAUACAUCCAUGAUUUUAUUGAUUGGUCCAAUUCUUGAAAACAACCAAAUGAAAUUUUUUAUUAAACACAUCCAACCCAACCCCCCCCCCUAUCACUACCAUUUUCUUAAAGCCAGCUGUGGUAAGGCAUUACUAUUGUUGGUUUAUAAUUAACAUAAGUUGGUGGCAAUAAUUAAAUGGGAGGGCAAUAUGUUAUCCCUACUACCAGUUAAUAGUAUGAACCGGUGAGAGGAUACGUUAAUUCAUGCCGGAUGACAACAAAAAACAAACGCCAAAAUGUUAAAUCAGUUUAUUCUAAAUGUUGACUUAGGUCUCACAAAUUGUUAAACCAAGUUUAUAAGAAUGUUGAAGCAUGUAUAAAUGUAAAAAGUUAGAAUCUAAUAAACAUGAUUACUUAAACAUAUUAGAAUAAAGAAACGCAUAAAAACAAACAUAAAAAUAAUUAGUUGCACUUAUUUUUUCAAGAACGGGUUGGAUUAAGAUAAAGUGCUUUUACAUCCAACCCCUACAAGGGCACCCCUAAAGAAUAAAUGUAUAGAUCCUUUGAGGUGCUUCUUGUGGCCUCUGCUGUCAUCCCAUUCCCACCGCAGCCUCGAAGUUCACCUCCCACAGUAAAAAACAUACCAAGGAUGUACAUCGCCCGCCUCCUCAAGAAGGAUCCCGAGAAGCGCAUCGGCGCGCAUGGCGUCAAGGCGCACCCCUUCUUCCGGGGCGUCGACUGGGAUCGCAUCCUCCACAUGGCACGCCCGCCGUUCAUCCCGACCCUGCCGCAGGACGACGACGGUGAAGAGGCGCUCGACGUCGAGAAGGUUGUGCGCGGGUCGGUGACCAAAUUUUGCCAUACUAAAUUUGGGCAGGUCAAAAUAUGGGCAUGCCAUACCAAAACUUGGAUUUGGAUAAGAAUUCUAGAAUAGGAUUUGGUUGGGUGCCAAUCAAAUAAGUGCGAAAGUUUAUCGGCUUUAGUUUUGACAGGGCAGAUUUUGGGAGCCAACUAAUCAUGCUCGAAGUUCGUGGCCCAGAUCGACAAAGAACCUUCAAUUUUUAGAAAAUCCAUAUGUGGCACGUCGAAUGUUUGCUAUUGAUCCAUUGAACGCAUUGGUGAACGGCAAACUACACUAUCCAUUGAACGCCUCCUCCUCGUCAUCAUCGGGAUCUAUCGCCAGUCACCUCACCGGCAAACCUCAAUCGAUGAAACAUCAGACCCACAAAGGGGAUCGCUGAACACCAAGCCGCACACAUGAGAAGGUGGAAAACAAACCUCGCAAGGAGAUCGCUGACACCCACAACUCUGUGGAGGGACCAAAUUAAACACCGGUUAAAAUCUUGUUAGUUUGAUCUCCACCAGUUGGCCUAAUGACCAAUUGGGCCCUUGGUCCGCGCCCCGAUCAGAGGCGCUCAGCCGAUUCUUCUGGUUGACGGGCCCCCGUCAUGUAGCGCCAUAAAAGGAUGGUGGGGGCUAGGGCACAAGACACGAGGUUGAUCUGAGCCGCUAGCCCACCAUCGAAGUUCGUAACCCUAGACCGAUUGAGAGGGGCACUGUGAGCGAUGGGAAGCGCCAUCACCUUCACCGCCGCACCGGACUUCGCUGCCCCGCACUGCGUACUCGCUGCCAUGGUAGCUUCUUCCUCCUCUACCUCCUCUGCCUACCUAGAAGGUAUGGACCUCUCUCUCUCUACUCUCUCUCUCUCUCUCUGCCUACUUCUCCUAAGUCCACUGUUACUUGAUUUGAACCAAACUGAGUAAGCAAUUCACCCACUGAUCUACCCUAGAUGAUCCUAAACUUCUAACAAUGGUACCAGAGAUAGUACUACGGUGUAGAUCUACUCAGGGAAGAUUAGUAACCGAAAGAAUUUAGAAGGAGAGGAGUUUUGAUUUAGAGUUAAGAAAUUUUUAGAAACAUUUUUAGAUGAGUGGCGGCCGCCGGUUUCAUCGACGACCGCCGGUGGCGCCAUGCCGCAAGAACGAGAUGUCGGCUGCCGGAUCUUGAACCGACGGCCGCCGGUAGACCAAGAGGAAAGAGGAAGGGUUAGGGAGGUGGCUUUCCUCACCGGCCUCUACUCACCGGAGUACUCCGGGAAGGGCCUCCGCGCUGGACAGAGACGGCCACCUAGGGCGCCGCCGCUAAGCCACUCGACGGCGGUGUGCUCACCCGAAGAGGAGCGCGCACCGGCAAAGGGGUCGGCGAUGGCGCCAACGACGACGCUCUGGGGCCGCGCUCCGCUGCACCGCCGGACUUUCCUCUCGCUUGCCAGCGCUCGACCUCCCGCUCAGGUCCACCACGGGCCAGCACCGCUCGGCUCUCGUGCAGCGGCACUAGAGAAAGGAGGAAGGAAAGAAGAAAUGGCGCUAGGGUUUACCAGGAGGCGUCGGCCGAGGUUUUUGAUCCUCCGAGAAUAGCGUACAGCCGUCUGAUCAGAUCCAAUGGCUCAGAGAUAAUGGACCGGAUGCAGCCCAGGUGGGUGAGAACUUUCCCGGACCAGGCCCAGGUUGUAGCCUGCUAAGCCGUGCAGGCGAGAUUGACUGCCAGGCCGGGCCGUAUUCUUACGCAGGCCGCCGACACAGUAGCUUUUAGCCGGACCGCGUCCAAGUGAAAGAAAAGGGCUAGCUGGGCAGCUUUUGCUGGGCCAUUUUUGUGGCUGAGACGAGCGCUCCUGCGCGAGCUGGGCUGGGCCAUUUCUACGGUUAGGCCGAAAGAAAGGAAAAGUUUGAGGCUUUCUUUUUGCUUUUUCUUUUUCCAGCGAUUUUCAUUAUUUCUGUAAAUUGAUUAGUGGCUCAAAUAUAAUAAGUUUUGAGGAGAAUUUUCUUUUGGGUAAAAUUUGCAAAUUAUGUUUAAGUUUCCACUGCAAAGAUUAUGUUUAUCCUCUGAUUAAUUUUGGUGAAUUUUAAUUGGAGGAGUAGCCAUAUUUUUUAAGUUAAAUUAUCGUAUUGUUAUUUUCUGACCAACGUUGAUGAUAACAAUAUUAUAACUUUAUUCAUAAGAUUAUUCAUAAGUUUUAGUGAGUUUUAUGCAUUAAUUCUAUUUCUGGGUGAUAUAGAAUUAAUGUGGAAGAAUGUCAGUGAUAUAGAAUUAAUGAAGAAGAAUUCAUGAGUUUUAUGCAUUAAUUCUAUUUCUGCCCAACAGUGAUGUAGAAUUAAUGUAAAAGAAUCAAUGAAUUUUAUGCAUUGGUUCCAUUUUUGCCCAACGGUGAUAUGGAAUUAAUGUGGAAGAAUGUUUGUAUGUUUCAGUUUUGACCAAAGAGGAAAAGACUAACAACCGUUGAUUUUAAUCAAUGCUUGAGGUUACUCGGCUGCAUUCUAAAAUUUUUUGUAUUUGCAUGUAUUUGCAUGAUUUUUUGUCGUAGAUUUUUUUGCGUAGUUUUUUUUUCUAAAAUUUUUGCUGCCGGGGGGUGGGGGGGCUCCCUGGAGCCUCCGCGCCCCGCCGGGGGGGGGGGGGGGGGGGGCUCCCUGGAGCCUUCGCGCCCCGCCGGGGGGGUCCCCCCGAAGCUGGCGCACCCCGCCCGGGGGCUCCCGCUUCAUCCACCGGAGCCGCCCCGCCGUGCUGGGGGGGAUCCCGUCGGACCCGUGCCGCCCCGCCGGGGGGAUCCCAGCGGACCUGCCGCGCCGCGCCGGGGGUCUUCCGCCGGACCCGCCCCGCCCCGCCGGGGGUCUUCCGCCGGACCCGCCCCGCCCCGCCGGGGGCCUCCCGCUGCAUCUGUCGGACCCACCCCGCCCCGCCGGGGAGAUCCGCCGGAGCCGCCCCGCCCCGCCGGGGGGGGCUCGCCGCCGCCAUCGACGCAGCCCGACGGCCGGCCGCCGCCUCAAUCUGGGAGGGACCGAGAGAGACACGGGAGAGACGCACGAGAGACACGGGAGAGACUGAGAGCGGCCUUGGGUAGUUUGGACCCAAAUGUCAUUAUCUGACAGCGGGGCCCAUGAUUCCUAACGGGAUAAGUAACAGAACAGACGGUAGUGUCAAAUAGGGAACGAAAGUUGAAGCGAGUGUCAAAUAGGGAACGAAGAAAAUUUCAGGGCUAAAAAAGGAAUGACUCAUUUUCCCAGUGUCAAAUAAGGAAUUUUCUCUUUAAUCAAUCCACGGAAGGACACCGACAUGCAGAAAAAACAAGUAAUGCAAAAAAAGUUAGCAUAUUAGCAGGAUAGAAGGGGCCAACUCUUGGAAAGUUUAGCCUGAUGCGGUGUGUGGGGGUAAGAUUUGUUGGGGCAGCCAUGGAGAGGCGCAAACUUAAUAUAAGAAAACGGGAACAAUUACAGCAAAAGGAAUGAGAGAAAAACAUCCCUAGCAUGGCCAGGGGAGAAAAGGGGUUAGAUUCUAAGAGGGUGAUGACGAGUUGACAACCAUGGUAAAUAACCGUGAGCUGGCCAUAUAGAAUCAUAGCUCAAUAGCAGAAUACGGAGAAUAACAGCACAAUCAGAAGGUAAAAGAGAAGAGUAGUAGCCAGUAGUGCUAAGAACUUCUUAGGAUUUCAAUUUGAAAAGCGAUGGGUGGAUGGCCAACUUGGAGAGUGCAAUGAUGACCAGCAUAUGGGGUUUCGGGGCAUGAUAAUGACAACUCGGUUAUACAACCAUGCCAAUACUGCAAUGUGAUCCCAUCUUCAUCGUCAGGUAAUGACCUAAUAUCAUAGUUGGUGUCAAGGCAUGGCGAUCAUCACCGAUGAUGAUGGCAAGCAGCGAGAUGGUGGUAUCUUGCUGUUUAACAUUUUGAUCAGUGGAUGCCUGAGAGCUAAAAAAAUUAGGAGAGAAGAACGAUGAUGUGGUCAAGUAGUGAUGAUCUGAUCUAAACAAAGCAACUCAAAGACGAUGUUUGACAUGCUCGCACGUCAAUAUCAACCUGCAUGUAGUGUUCGAAGAGAUGGAACCACAAGCACCAUCACGGACGUGUCCUUGAUGACUGCAUUGUAGCGGAGACAACUUCUUGGGAGUAGAAGUAGGAGAGAAGGGGUGAGUACAAAAGAAGUUUCCGGGUUGUAUCUUAUGUGCGCAACAUUGAAUUUGUUGAUUCUGCGAACGGUUCGUUUCGGAGGAAAUGUGCAACGUCUGUAAGUCAAGGAGAUCAUGCAUUCAUGGCUGUAGCAAGCGAGGAUUGCAUAACAAAGAAAAGAAUGGAGAUUUAGAUAUGAUUAAAACUAAAGAGGAUGCAUCCACCAGUGCCAAUCCUCAUUAAGGUUUUGGUUCAAACUCAAACUCACGGUAAACAUUGAACCAUUUACGUAGAUCUCCAUUUCAAAAUGCAAGGAUGAUGUAUCACUAACUAAAACUCUUAAACAAAAACGUACAUCGCCAACCAAAAUUAAAAAUAAUAUACCUAUUAAAUAUAUAUAUUACUUUUAAGAAAAACAAAAAUAUAUUUCUAUAUAAGGUAUUUCUUUUUUCUAGAAUUCAUGAUAAGAAAAAUAUUUAACAGGAUAUGCAUGAUAUCAAAAAAAGCAUUCACAAUACUUUGGAUAAUGUGAUUAGAACAAAAAAAACUACGUGGCUAAAUAAAAAUAUUUACAAUACAUUUAUCUGAAACAAAAAAUACAAAUAAAAAGCUAGCUACCCGUGCUAUUAGCGCGGUCCACAUUGCUACUUUCGUAUACUUACAUGGUGCGGGAUGUGUUUUCUUAGUUGGCGAUUUCAUGAAACACACGAUGGUAACGGCUAAACCUUCCACCAUGACACAUUACUAGGGCCGGGCCGCAGAAAUAUCCUCCUCAGACAUUAGGCCAUCCUUCUUCGAUCUGUCCUGUCAGUUAUCGAAAAUGCAUGCCACUACCAGCGGUGGUGGACCUUCCAGCCCCCCGAUCAUUGUUCAGGUUGCGAUGUGAGAUCACACACGACAUUAUCUGAUCCAUCUCCAUGCAGAGGAGUGAGACUGUUACAUUCCUGCACAAGUUCUAUCUCGCAAACCUCUCCAUUAAUUUUUUCCAGCGCGGGUAUCGUUUUCGUCCCACUCGAUCGAUUCCUUCCCGGCCCUAUAUAAACACCGGUCAUCGUCGUCUGCUAGCUUCAUACCGCAGAGCACGGGAGAGCUUCCAAACUACCAACAAUGGUUAGGUCCCUAGCAGCUCUCCUCCUGCUCCUCUUAGUGGGCACUGUCGCUUCAGGAUACCAGUACGAGGAGGGCUCGGUAGGGCGGACGUUCUUCCUCCAGCACGACCUGUACCCGGGCUCCAAUAUGACGCUCCACUUCACCCGCGCCGCCCCGGGAGCCCCGUCGCUCCCGCGCGCCCGCGCCGACGCCAUCCCCUUCACCUCCGCCAAGAUCCCGGAGAUCCUCUCCCUAUUCUCCAUCCCGGCCGGGUCCCCCGCCGCCGCCGCGGUGCGCUCCACCCUGGCCGAGUGCGAGGCCCCGCGGUUCCCGGGCGUGGCGGCGCAGCGCUGCGCCACCUCCUUCGAGUCCAUGGUCGACUUCGCCGCUUCCAGCCUCGGCACCCGAGGCAUCCGCGCGGGGAUGACCAAGCUCAGCAGGGAAGGCGCGACUCCGAGGCAGGCGUACGUGGUGGAGUCCGUCGUGCCGCUGCCAGUGAUUGGCAGGGACAUGGUGGCCUGCCACUGCAUGCCAUACCCCUACGCCGUCUUCGGGUGCCACACCACCACCGCCGCCGUGUUCACGGUGGCCCUCGCCGGCGCCGACGGGACCAGGGUUGAGGCUCUGACGGCGUGCCACAAGGACGCCACGCCCGGCAUCUUCGGGCCGACGUACAAGAAGCUCGGGGUCACGCCGGGAACCGUGGCGGUGUGCCACUUCCUGCCCCAGGACGGCAAGCUCUGGAUGCGCAAAUGAAAGGCUUCGAACGUGCGUGGCGCCAGCAUCAAGCAGUGCAUGGAAAAAUAAGUGCUGGUCACGUAUUUCAUCGCCUGUGAACAGGCUACUUGAUCGCUGAUACUUAUUCAAUAUUCAGUGUACUGUAUCGUCUGCGUGUGUGUACGUGUGUAAUUUGUGUACGUAUAUUUUGUAUGCGUGUUGUAUCUAGUAUCUACGUGCUCGCCACAAAGCACUGUAUGGAAAAAUAAGUGGCUGGUCACUUAUUUCAUCGCCUGUCUAUACGUGUGUAAUUAGUGUAGUACGUAUGCUUAUUUGUAUGCUAAUAUUAGGAUGUCUCGUAAAAGAGUACGUCUAAUACGAGCCAUAUUAGGAUCACAAUCCGAUGGACAAUUUAUUUUCUUCUACCUCAGGCUGUACAAAUCCUCUCAUCGCAACUAACAUGCGAAAACCAUUUAAUUGUUUCUUUGUUAACUGAUGAGUUAGUUGAAGCUCAAAAUUAGUGAUGAAAGUGCAAAUCUAACCAAUGAGCAAAGCUCCAUCCAAUCGAACAGCGGACAAUCGAGCAGGACGUGUCAGCUAGAAUUUGGUAAACUGGAACGGUAUAUCAAAUACAAACUGAACACUAAAAAUUCAGUUAAACUCAUGUAUUUCCCCAAAACUCAUCGGGAAAAAAUUUGGAAACACAAGAAAUUCGAAAACAAAAUUAGGAUGAAAAUGGAACAAAAUUUUGAGACAAAAUUUGGAAACAAAAACGUAAAACAAAAAGAAUUCAAGAAACAACAGUUUAGUGAAAAACUUGGGUAAAAAUUUGCCACCUCCCUAGCGGCACAAGCGUGGAACGACGCCGGCGGGCAGCGAUAAUUUCUCUGACAGAGAAUGAGAAAAAAUAAGAGGGGGAAAAAGAGAAAAAGAAUAGAAUAUGGGGAAUAUAUGGGGUGAUAAUUAUGUAUAAUUAACAGCUAGCCUAGCUGCCGUGGCACCAAUACUAGGGCAGAAAUAUCCUCCUCAGACAAUUUUUUUCAACGAAACAUGGAAUGAAGUGCAUUAGGCCAACCCUCAAUAUAAUCUAUGGAGAAAAUGCAUCCCAACUAUAUGUCUGUCUGCAGUGGGCAUUAUUACAUUUCAGAUCACCGAUCAAUGUGGACGAAAACGAUACCCACCGCAAUGAGAAUGUUACACUACUAUUUUGCAAGCUAGCAAUGUGGUGUGGGUGCUUUUACAAGGAGUGCAGCUUAGGCCUCGUUCGGAGACAUAGGAUUGGUGCUAGACCAGCUUUUGAUCCUGGUCAGGAUCGAGUGGAUCCUGGUUUCUCACUGAAACCUAGUGAUUAAUCAUUCCUCCCCGGGAUCAAAACCAUUGAUUCAAAAGUAGUGUUCGGCUGGAGAGGAAAGAAAAUAGGGGUAUAGAGUUGUACUUGACUGUAAGCAAUUAACAUCUAGAAAGCAAUGAACAGAGGCCAAGAUCUAAGAGCCAUAUAUAGAUGGUGAGCAAGAUCGAUCGUACCGGGGCUGGAGACGACGUCGGGGGAGUCGGCGCCGCUGCUGGCAGUGUGGCUAGGGCUGCUGCCACCGGACGUCAACUCGUAGCACUGGAUCUCCACGAUGCAGUUGGAGGGGAGCUCCAGCUCGAGGUCACGGCUGGCGCGGACCUCUUCCACGUCCAUGGCCACGCCGCCGCCACUCACCGCGCCCGCAUGCUGGGACCAGGUUGGUGAGGAGUCACCCGCACCUCCUCCUCCGCCUGCGCCCUCCCCCCCCCCCCCCUCCAGUGCUAUACCCUGAAAUGACACACAAUUCUAAAUUUGUUGGGAGGUUGAUUAUGGAGGGAAAGAGAUCAAGAACUAAGAAGGGUGUGAGAUCGAUCGGGAGGCUAGUCCAUGGGAGCGGGAAGGUGGUGCUACAGCGGAUCGAGAACAAGAUCUUGUUCUCCAAGCGCCAGAACGGCCUACUCAAGAAGGCGCAUGAGCUCUCCAUCCUCUGCGACGCUGAGGUCGCGCUCGUCCUCUUCUCCCACGCCGGCCGCUGGAGAGGGGAAGCAAGAGAAGGCGGCCCUUAAUGGGAGAGGGGAAGGAAGGGUGGCACUUACCGGUGAGAAGGCGGUGGAGAGGAUCGCUGUUGAGGCUAUGCCGCGCUGCCAUCUCGCACCGCCGUCACGCCAUCUCGCGUCGCUAGCUCCCGUCCUCCCGAGGAUUCAUUCCGGAGGGGAUAGGGUGAGGUUUCAUUCUGGACCUUGGAUUGAAGGGGUGAAACCGAGCCGAACCAGGUUUGGUUCCGGCCAGACCAACCGAAUAGCAAUUUUCAUUGAGGUAUGCCUUCAUUCCGGGCUGAACCAAACCACACGGAACAGGCCUCAUUUCGGACCAUUCCGGCUGAAACGAACGAGGCAUUGGUGGUUUCCACGAGAGCAAGUAAAAGAAAGCGUGCGGUAGAAAAACUUCCCGUCGGUUUGCUUAGCAAUUAAUGACCAAUUUGAACCUAACGAACGGUUUGGAUUUGAGGGGAGGUAGAAACUCCACGUGCAUGCACCUACGCCGUGACAAGGGGGCGUGCUUCCCUCGAAAUGAUGCCUACGGGCCUGUUCUCUAGUUUUCAUCCCCCUUCUUUUUUUCUCAACUAGCCGUCGCACGAGCUAUUUUCUAUUUUUUAUUCUUUAGUGAAAAUAUCUAAUAAAUUUAGUUGGGCCCGUUGUAAUACAAAGAUGUCAAUAUCUCUAUCUCUACGUAUACUACUAAUAAUUCCCUAAGGGAGAUUUUUUUUCGUGUAACAACACCCCCACCCUCUCUUUCAUCGCCGUCAGUCCGCCUCCGCCAAGCCCGCGCGCUCCUCCAACUCAGAAUCGGCACGCUCCAUUCUACUGAUCUCACACCAGCGCCCUUCGAUUUCCCCAUCGGUCCAACUAUCCUGCAUCGCGAUCCCCUGCAAUCAAUCCGCCACCCCGGUCUAACCUUCAAUUACGUUCCAAUUCCUCUCUCUUUCCAUUCGCCAGCACCCGCUCCUCCCGUCGGCGAGCAGGCGGGCUCCCAUACUCGUGAAUCUUGUCAUGCGCGCCGCUGGGCUCCUACUACCUGCCACUCAAGCUUCGCCACGAUCCGCCUCGCUGUGGAGACACUCGCCGCGUCUGUGGCUGUCGUCGGAGUCACAAAGGGGAUUUUUUACCCACUGUGGUAGCUACCCAACUCCCUUGAGCGGCAGCAAUGUACUGCUCUCACACGUGAAGAUGCGUGUGCAACAGAUGCCGAUUAGCUUAUGUGGUAGCGCUUAUAGUAAUUUCGAUCCUCCUGUUUGGAUACGCUUCCUUCUAGCCACAUUUGGAUUAUAAUCUAAACGAAAAUUUUCUCGCUUCUCGCUUUUCGCUUCUCCUAGUUCAAAUCUCUGAAGCGGCUUACCACAUAAGCGAGAAUCGGUGGAAAUAAACAAAGCUUUUGGUGGGAUUCUCGCUUAUUUCCAUCGGUAAGCCGCUUAUAAGCGGAAACAAACGGGCCAAAUAACGUUUCUGCUUUUUUUUCAUCGUGCCUCAACUUUUUCAUAAAUCAACCUGCAGUCCUUGGACUAUGUCUUGACGAAAGUCACCUGUACCCUCCUCCUCCAGUCCGGCUCGCGGCGGCCGACGGCAUCGCAGCGGCGCGGGCAGCCACCGACGGCGGCCAGCACGCCGGCGCCGCGCGGAUCCUGGAUGCUCGGCUAAAACAGCGUCGCCGUCCCGCCGUGGCGCCCCCUCGUUGCCUCCUCCUCGCCUCGUCGCCGCCCGACCCCGUCACCCCGAGUCCCCGCGCCGUCCCCCGUCGCUAGCGUCCUCGGCCCCAACCGCCCGCGCCGCCCACCACGGUCGCCCCACCCGGCCACGCCAGAGCCACCUCCCCGACCCCGGCCACGCCGCCCGGCCUGCGCCCACCGCCCGCCUCGGCCAGGGGAGAAAGAGGAUCCAGCUUCCUUUUUCCAUUUGCAGAUUUCCACAUUCAAUAUUUCAUUAGUUCUUCAUGGAACAAUUGCUGAGAACAUGGACUUUAUGGAGGUCAUUAAGUUUUACUUUUAUUGAUGUGUAUCACUUCUCUUUUGAACAUAAAAAUGAUACAACAUUGAUAACUAAUCAUUGUUCAUUCAUUUAUCAGGAUGAUUCAAAUCCAUAUGAUGUUCCAAUAGCUAUGGGCAUUUACCAUAGGCUGGAGAGUCCUUUGGAUAUCACUACAAGUACUAUUAUCAGAAGGAUUGUUGCUAAUCAUGAAGCUUACCAGGUAGCUAACAUGAUCUUUUAUAUGCAGUAUGCAGCAUGUAGUAUAGUGUAUAUAUAUUCACAGUUACACAUGUGGUUUGAUUUUGUCUUCUUCAUAUUAGUAAUGCACAUAUGGGAGCUAUUGUGUACUGAUAUUAUGCUGAUGCAUUUUUGCUUGAGUAAAGCUUCUUGCAUGUGUACAUUAAAUUAUGGCUGUUUCCCUAGGAUCAAUAUUUCCCUCUUGUACUAUGCUUGCCAACAUGUUCUUUGAUGUUGGGUUUGUGUGGUUUUUUAUUUAUUCUGGCCCAUCAAUCUGGUGCUGUUUGUAUUCAUAUUUGCUUUGCCCUCUUAAUUCUUGCAGAAGCGGAACGAGAAGAAGAAAGCCAGUGAGAAGAAGUACUAUGAGAGUAAAAGUUUUGUCAAUAGGGAGUGAGUCGUGAAUAGCAGAACUUUCAUGAAAAUUGUUGCCCCGGUCAUUUUAGACCCCGGCCUUCUUUGGCAAAGGCAACAGUUGGGAUUCACAGUUUUACCCUUUCCUUUUCUUCAGCAUCUUUGAUGUUCUGCUGACAUAGCUUAGGAAGCAUCAGGUUCAACAUUGUUGAGUGACUAGCAGAGGUGAUAACCUCGGCGAGGUUAGAGGCAUUUCCAUUGUUUUUCGUCAUUGCCUCCGGCCUAUUUCCCCCAUGUACAUGUGCCUUUUUUGGUUGUUGUCACCAGCUGAGUUGCAUUUGAGGUCUGUAACCAUAGCAACGCACGGGCAUAUUUGCUAGUAAAUAAUAAAAGACCAUAACUAACGACCAGUGAACAACCCGGUCAACGUCAACAAACCAGAACCAUUACGGACGGACGAUGAUACUGAGGUCAAUCUCGGGGUUAUGGCUUUGACCGGCUAGAUAAGUCCCUCCUUGUUAUCCUUGCAUCAUCUCAAGCACCUUGAUCUCAGCAACAAUAUCAUUUUGGGGCCAACCAGUCGUUUGCCGGAGUUCCUGGAUGUGAUGUCCAGCUCCUAAUUUCACCAAUUUAAAAGUCCAUUAGCUCAUUUGUUAUGUCAAACAUUGCAUAUACAUGUUGUAUGUUGAAAUUAGGAUUGUUUGUGAUAAUCUACAACUCUGUGGCCUCUUUACAAGUAUGCCAUUUUAAGCGGAAGGCCCAACUCGAACCAGAACAGAGUGUUCUGUUAUGUUCUUCACCUUGAAAGAGAGCUAGGGUUAGGGAGAGGAGAGGAAAGGCUUAGAUCCACCAAAUCCAUCCAAUAGAAAGUGAAAUCCGUGGAGGAUUUGGAGCCUCCCCAUUCUUGUUGUCUCCCACCUCUUGUAUUGCUUAUUUAUAUAGUGGAUUACUCACCGCCGCCCGUGGUUUUUUCCUGCAAGGGGUUCCAUGUAAAUCUUGUGUCUGCCUUGAAUUUUGUAUUUUUUCCAUAUGUGUUGAUUAAAUCACCAUCUUGCUUGCUAUUGAUCCAUAUGUGAAGUGGUUGCUUGUAUGGAUGAGUUGGCAUGGGAGGCAUAUGUGUGUUCUUUUAUAUGUUGAGAUGAGAUGAUGGGAUUGAUAUUCUAGUGAAUUAGCUGCUGCAAGUAUUUUGUUAUUGAAUCAUUGGACAGCUUGUGGUUUGAAAGUUUGAAGCAUAGUUGCUAUUUUGUUCAUGCUCACAAGAUGUUCAGUGAAAUGCUUGUGACAAGUUAGUUUGCUAAUUUGAUUAUUCUGCUACUCCAUUGUUAUCACAAGUGAUAUCAGAGCUAUUAAUUAUCAAAGGCACCAAUUAAUCGUGCUGAUUUGGUACAAUAUGUCAACAUUAGAAGUGAGCAAGUUUGACUUUAAGGGUGACUUUCGGUUAUGGCAAGUGAAAAUGCAAUCUAUCCUAGUUGACAAGGGUUUAAAUAUUGCUUUGGAAGAAAUCGAUCCAGAUUUGGCUAGCACAUCAAAAGAAGAGUUGAAGAAGAUAGAUAAGAAGGCAUUGACAGUUCUCUGUUUGGCUCUUGCUGAUAAUGUUUUGACGUAAGUUUGUGAGGAAAAAUCUGCUAUGGCACUUUGGAAGAAAAUGGAAUCUCUCUAUUUGGAUAAAUCACUCUCAAGUCUUUUCUACCUCAUGAUGCAUUUGUUUAGGAUGUGUAUGCUAGAAGGCACUCCUAUCAAGCAAUAUAUUGAUGACUUUAACAAGGCGGUGCUUGAUUAUCAGAAUGUUGCCAACUCUAUGGAUACAAAUCAUUUGGCUAUUUUGUUCUUGUGUUCACUCCCAGAUUUUUAUGAUAGCAUCAGAGAUUAGAUCUUUUAUGGCACAUAUUCUGUUUCUAUGGAUGAUAUCACUUCUAUCCUUUUGUCUAAGGAUUUGCUCAAGAAGUCUCAUAUGGAGAGUCAUGGCCCAAGUGAGGGUAUUGUUGUGAGUCGUGGGAGAUCCGUAGAGCGUGGUCAUAGUGGUGGUAAUGCUUCUAGCAGUGGCAAGAGUAAAUCUAAGGGCCAUUCAAAGUCAGGUUCGGGCAACAAAGGUAUUCAGUGCAGGUAUUGCAAGGACUUUGGCCAUUUCAAGUGGGAUUGUCCCAAAUUGAAGAAAAAAGAGGGACAAGCAAGGUGAUGGUAGCAAGGGUGAGAAUUCUUUAGCAGCUAGUGUGGCAGUAGCAGAUGGUGAUUCAGAUGGUUUUGGUGAGUUAUUUGUUGUCAGUGCAGACAGCUCUUCAGUUCGGCAAUGUGCUUCUAGUAUUUCAGCUGAUGGUGAUAUGAGCUUCAGGACUAGUUGGAUUCUUGAUUCUACUUAUUCUUACCAUAUAUCUCCACACAGAGAGUGCUUUGCUACCUAUGAACCAUUGAAUGGUUGCUCAGUCUCUAUGGGUAAUGACACAAAGUGCAGAGUUGUUGGUAUUGGCACAAUCAGAUUCAAGAUGUUUGAUGGUAUUGUUCGUACACUCACAGAUGUUCACGAUAUGGUUGGGCUGAAGAAAAAUUUGAUCUCUUUCAAGGCACUUGAUCGAAAAGGUUACAAAUUUGUGACUCGUAGCUAUUAGAUCAAAGUUUUCAAAGGUUCCUUAUGUGUGAUGAAGGUUCUUACUACUCUUGAUCCAGAUGACUUGUAUUUCUUACAGGGUAGUUUGCUUAUUGGGUCAGCAUCAGUGGCCUCUAGUUCCCAGGUUGAUGAUGAGAUUAUGAUUGCAUUGUGGCAUAUGAGAUUGGGGCACAUGUCAAGCAUGGUAUCGCAGAUUUGAGUUGUCGUAGUCUGUUGGGCAGUCGAAAGAUAGGUAGUUUGCAGUUCUGUGAGCAUUGUGUUUUUGGGAAGCAAACUUGUUUGAGGUUCAGCAAGUUAGUUCACACGAUGAAGGCCAUUCUUGAGUAUGUGCAUAUAGAUUUGUGGGGUGAUGCACCAGUAACAUCUAUUGGAGGUGGAAAAUAUUUGCUAACCUUUGUUGAUGAUUUCAGUAGGAAGGUUUGGGUCUACAUCUUGAAGUCUAAAGAUGAGAAAUUUGCUCGUUUCUAUCAAUGGAAGACUAUGGUGGAAACACAAAUAGAAAGAAAUAUCAAAUAUUUGAGAUCAGACAAUGGCACUGAGUUCCGCUUAGGAGCGUUUGAGAAGUAUUGUCAGGAUGCUGGCAUUAUUCGAUACUAUACCACAGUUGGCACUCCACAGCAGAAUGGAGUAGCGAAACAUAUGAACAGGAUAUUGCUGGAGAGGACUCAUUGCAUGCUCUCUCAUGCCGGGUUACCACAGAGUCUUAGGGCAGAGGCAGUUACCAUAGCAUGCUAGUUGAUCAAUCACUCUCCAUCGACAGCUAUUGAGUGUAAGACACUAGAGGAGGUGUGGUCUGGAAAGCCACCUUAGUAUGAUCACUUGAGGGUAUUUGGUUAUCCGGCGUAUGCACACAUUCGCCAGAACAAGUUGCAACCUCAAGCUUUGAAGCGUGUCAUUCUUGGUUAUGGUGAUGGAGUUAAAGGGUAUCAUUUGUGGUGUAAAGAUUCUAGACCCCCUAAGGUGAUCGUCAGUAGAGAUGUGACCUUUGAUGAGAUGGCGAUCAUUACUCCAGCUUGUUGGCAAUCGGAAGAGACUUCCACUUCAGGUGGAGCUUCUUCAGGUGGUGGUUCAGGGGCAGAGCAGGUAGCAUAGAGGGUAACAUUUGACGUGGAGACUCCAGUGACCAAGUCUACUACAUUUCACAGUCAGCAGCAGCAGCAGUCAUUGUUGUCAGAGUCUGCAGAUGGUGUUCAGGGUGACACACAUGAGGCAGAUUUUGAGUCAGAUGCAGCUGAUGGACAGCUAGUGGAUAUAGUUUCAGGUGGAGCUUCAGAUGAUCCAAACUCUCCUAUGGUUAUUCACAGACACAAAGGAAACCAACAAAUUUCUAUGGAGAGUGGGUCACACCAGUAGCGAGAGGUAGAGGUACAGCUGCCUUCGCUUUGACAGUUGUUGAGGAUAUUGUUCAUGAUGAGCCUAGCACUUAUAGAGAGGUGGUUAUUAGUCCUCAAGCAGCUAGUUGGGUCCAGGCUAUGGCAGAGGAGAUGGAAUCAUUGCAUAAAAAUAUUACUUGGGACUUGGUGUUGCUGCCCAAGGGGUGCAAGAUUGUUGGAUGUAAAUGGGUGAUUAAGCUGAAAGAUGCUUCUCCAGAUAUUAUUGCUCCAAGUUACAAAGCUAGAUUUGUGGAAAAGGGGUUCAAUCGGUUGAUUACCAUGAGGUAUUUUCUCCAGUUGUAAAGCAUACUUCAAUUCGUGCUUUGCUAACUUUGGCUGCUCUAUUUGAUUUGGAAUUAGAGCAAGUGGAUGUGAAGACAGCAUUUCUUCAUGGUGAGCUUGAGGAGGAGAUAUUUAUGGUAUAGCCAAAGGGUUUUGUGGUUGAAGGUAAAGAAAACCACGUUUGUUUGCUAAAGAAGUCAUUGUAUGGCUUGAAGUAGUCUCCAAGGCAAUGGUACUAUCAUUUUAAUUCUUAUGUUAGUAGGUAUGGUUUUUAAAGAAGUUCAUAUGAUGCUUGUGUGUUUCAGCAGGUGCUUGUAGAUGGCUCAAGGGUGUACAUGUUGCUUUAUGUUGAUGACAUCCUUAUUGCAGGAAAGAGUUGUUCUGCUAUUGAUGAAACAAAGGCCUUGCUCAAGAGUGAGUUUGAGAUGAAGGAUUUGGGUGCAGCCAGGAGGUUGUUGGGUAUGGAUAUUCGUCAUGACAGGUCUUUGGGCAGACUUUGGCUUUCACAAAGUCAAUAUAUUGAGAAGGUUCUACAUCGAUUUCACAUGUCACAAUCGAAACCUGUUGCUACUCCUUUGGCACCACAUUUCAGGUACUUCAUUAGGGCCAUUAGAUACAGAGGGUGAAAGGUACAUGUAUGGAGUUCCUUAUGCUUGUGCUGUUGGCAGUUUGAUGUAUGCUAUGGUUUACACACGUCCAGAUAUUGCACAUGCAGUUAGUGUUGUGAGCCGUUUUAUGUCAAGUCCAAGCAACGAACAUUGGAAGGUAGUACAAUGGAUCCUUAGAUAUCUUAGAGGCACAAAUAAAUAUGGUUUGAUGUUUGAUAAGAGGGCAGCAAAUCCAGGACAAGUUGUUGGUUAUUCUGAUUCUGAUUUUGCUAGGGAUCUUGAUGAGAGGCGCUCUCUCACUGGUUAUGUGUUUCAGCUUUGUGGGUCUUGUGUUAGCUGGAGGGUAACAUUGCAGCAUACAGUUGCUUUAUCUACUACGGAAGCUGAGUUUAUGUCUUUGACUAAGGCAGUGAAGGAGGCUAUUUGGUUGCAUGGUUUUCUGGGUGAUUUGGGCAUUGAGCAAGUUGAUCGUGUUGUCUUUUGUGAUAGUCAAAGUGCGAUUCACCUUGCAAAAGAUGAAAAGUUUCAUGAGAGAAUCAAGCAUAUUGAUGUGCGAAAUUUCUUUAUUCGGCUUCAUGUGAAAAAAAAAAGCUUUGUAUGUUGAGAAAAUUAGCACAAAAGACAACCCGACUAAUAUGUUAACCAAGGUGGUCCGGAAGGUCAAGUUUGAGCAUUGCUUGAACUUGGUUUGUAUUCAUUCUUGCCUAAUUUAGCUCCCCAGUGGAACAUUGGUGGUGGUGAGUUUGUUACUUGUUGAACUAUUCACUUGAAGAUGAAACAUUUGAAGAUUGAGCUUUUGGCACCAAGAAGCUUGAUGUGUUUGCUCUAUGGUUUAUUUAUCGCUGAGGUGGAGAAUUGUGAUGUCCAGCUUCUAAUUUCACCAAUUUGAAAACCCAUUAGCUCAUUUGUUAUGGCAAACAUUGCAUAUACAUGUUGUACAUUAAAAUUAGGCUGUUUGUGAUAAUCUACAACUCUCGAGGCUCUUUAAAGUCUGCCAUUUUAACAGGCAGCCCCAACUCGAAUCAGAACAGAGUGUUCUGUUAUGUUCUUCACCUUGGAAGAGAGCUAGGGUUAUAGAGAGGAGAGGAGAGGCUUAGAUCCACCAAAUCCAUCCAAUAGAAAGUGAAAUCUGUGAGGGAUUUGGAACCUCCCCAUCCUUGUUGGCUCCCACCUCUUGUAUUGCUUAUUCAUAUAAUGGAUUGCUCGCCGUCGUCCGUGGUUUUUUUCCCGCAAGGGGUUUCCACCCAAUGCGAAUGAAAUUGUCCCAUGGUACGCUCCAAGCUUAUCCUCCACUGAUAUCUCUUGAUUAUCAAAUCUGCCUUUAUGGUACCUCAACAUGGAUUCUGUAGACCUUAGCAGGAUAGUUGAUUGGGCUCAUGUGGUCAACAUGAUUCCUUCCCUAAAGGUCCUUCGUCUUGCUCGUUGCUCCCUUACAAGUGCAAACCAAUCUCUCCCGCAUCUCAAUCUUACGGACCUUCAGGAGCUUAAGUCUCUCUAAUAACGUCUUUGGUCACCCAGUGGCAUCAUGUUGGUUCUGGAAUUUGACAAGCCUCCAGCAUCUCGAUCUUAGGGAAACUUUUUUAUACGGUAAAAUUCCUGAUGCAUUGGGAAGUAUGACGUCCCUCGAAGUCCUUGAUUUUUCAUCCAGUAUUGGAAGCACAGGCAUCAUGACAGCAAACAUGAGAAAUCUAUGCAAUUUGGAAAGCAUAGACUUGAGUAGCAGCAAUCUUGAUGGCAACAUAGCAGAGUUAUUUCAGAGAUUACCCCAGUGUUACCCGAACAAACUGAAGGAAAUGCGUUUGGGAGAAAACGAUUUCAGUGGAGUGCUACCAAAUUGGAUAGGGCGAUGGACCAGCUUAGUCAUUCUUGAUCUCUGUAUAAACCGGAUCACUGGACAUCUGCCGUCUGUGAUCCAUAUGCCCAAUAAUUUACACACUCUUGAUCUUUCUGACAAUCAAUUGACUGGACCUAUGACCUCUGCUAAUCAAUUAACCGGACCUAUGCCCUCUGCUACCGGUACGCUCAAUAAUUUGAUUAACAUGGACCUCAGCGGCAAUAAUAUCGAUGGUGUGAUUACCCAUGAACACUUUGCUGGCCUAACCAAGUUAAAGCAUAUAUAUUGACUUGUCACGUAAUUCCUUGAAAAUCAUGAUUGAUCCUGAGUUUUACCUCCCUUUAGACUUGAACGUGCACUUUUCGCAUCUUGCCAGAUGGGUCCUCUAUUUCCUGUCUGGCUGCAGUCCCAGGCUGGUAUUCUUUAUCUAGACAUAUCAAACGCAUCUAUAUUUGACAGGCUUCCAGAUUGGUUUUUCCAAUGCCUUUCAGAUGGCUUGGAAGUUGGACAUUUCAAAAAAUGCAAUCAAUGGCACAUUGCCAAAAAACUUGACAGAUAUCACAUCAUUAGAGGAAUUCAACAUGAAUUCAAACCAGCUAACGGGUCCGAUACCUCUGUUGCCGCGAAAUCUGUAUGCAUUGGACAUCCCCAGGAACUAUUUGUCAGGGUCACUACCAUCAAACAUUUGUGAAUCUAACACAAGCAUCUUGAAUUUAGCCAACAAUCAUUUGAAGGGAGAUUUCCCACAAUGCUUUUAGCCAAGGAUGACCAAAGCACUACUGUUAAAUAACAAUAUGCUAUCUGGAAAGUUACAGUCCGUUCUGGAAACAUACUCAGAACUGCUAAUCCUCGAUCUAGCAUGGAAUAAGUUCAAUGGAAGCAUUCCAUCAACUAUUACCAAGCUUGGAGGCCUUUAUCAUCUAAAUCUGCCAGGCAACAAUAUAUCUGGUACCUUACCCAAUUUAACGUGCAUGCAAACAGAGCGUUACCACGGUUUCCUCUGGAGGCGUGUGAAUAUGUCUCAGACUACGAAGGGCCAAGAACGCUAUUACGAUUUUAUAGAUAAAGCCGUGUUGAGCAUUGACUUAUCAUCAAACCAUUUGACGGGCGGAAUUCCAGAAGAAUUAGAUGGAGUUGUAAAUUUGAAUUUAUCGAGGAAUAAUUUGACAGAAAAGAUUGGGGCCAUGCAUUCAUUGGAAUCGAUUGACCUCUCAGAAAACAAGCUUCAUGGAGAAAUCCCACAAAGCCUAUCAAAUCUAACAUAUUUAAGCUUCCUGGACCUGUCGGACAAUGAUCUCAUGGGAAGAAUCCCAUCAGGGGAGCAGCUCGAUACCCUAUACUCGCAGAACCCACAGAUCUAUGAUGGCAACAUUGGUCUUUGUGGAUAUCCUCUUAAGAAGAAUUGCACCGAUGGUAGUGAAUUGAAGCAUAGUGAUGAAAAGAGAGAUGAGCAUGAUUCUAAGGUACUUACAUUUUUCUUUGGACUUGGCGUUGGAUGUGUGGUUGAUCUCUGGGUGGUGUUUUGUGUCAUAUUAUUCAAGAGAUCAUUUGACAAAAUCUAUGUGGUUCUCGUUGUUGCAUGGGCAAGAUGGCCCAAAAAGACUGCUAGACAUUAGGCCAGCCAAUUGGUAAGGUUUAGUAUUAAGGCGACUAGUAGCUCUAUGAGUAAAUAAAAAAGGAGAUGCAGCAGUUUACAUUUGUUGUGUUUGAUGUAUUCUUUGAAGUGAGACAUUUUGAUUGUUGUUCGAUUCCUAUUAUAUGUGUACACUAUCAGUCUGUACUUUGUACUUGUGGUGAAGCCACACAAUGAAGAUUUGUAGUGAACUAUAUCUUUUACUAUCAGUAUGAUGGAUCAUAUUCGUGGUGCAACAUUGAUAUCAACUGAAUAUAGUUCAGGUGGGUUGUACGUGGAAAAUAAACAAAUUUCUCCCAAAUACAUACGGAUUGGAGGGAAUGGUCGUCCAUCCAAGGCCAGAACCGGAAAUCAGAAGGGAUAGAGAAAGGGAACGUUGAAAAGGAAUGCAAGUUCAGCGAGGAGCUAAUCAAUCUAUCCAAGGCCUCUCAGCAGUCAGCAGUCAGCAGCGCGAGAUUAUCAGCAGUGCGUAUGCUUUGUGUGGCGAUCUGUAAGGGUUCAGGAACAUUAGGUCUCAAGGACAACAAUCAAUCCCACAGGUGCCUUGCCUUUUGCAUAGGCAAUUCAAGCUAUAUCGACAGCGACUGAAACAUAACAUAUACACUCACACGGCAUGAAUCUAGCAUGCUUAGGCUACUGCAAAUCAGUAAAACAUUCACCGAACAUCACAUAGACUAACACCGCAAAUUCCCAAUCACCUUUUUGCACUAUAUGCCAGAAACACAGCCCAUCUCCAGCACAUUUGGCAGUAAACAUAGUUUAAAGCUGUAACACAGCUUCACAAAAGACCAUCACCACAAUCACCUGCAUCUACUAAUACUCUACAUUUACUGAUUCCCUACAUCUACUGAACAAGGGCCGGACGCAAAAUGCAGUCUUGUAAGCUAACUUACAACACCAUUAACCCACUGUUCUUCACAAAAGACAGCCGCUUGGACCAGGAUCACAAAAGCAAACAGAAGUUGAUUGUCAUAGGGGAUCCGGUGUUCAUGUCUGGUUGGACCGGGAUCGCAGCCUGCUUGCAACACAGUCAGGGCUUCGUUCAUACUUCCUCUUCCUUGCGGGCUUAGAAGAUGGAGUGACACACCCAGCAUCCUUAUUGACCUGAACGUCCUGAGAAUCAGAUGUCACCACAGACUCGCUCUUUCUAUCAUCCUUGUAGUCAUCAGAGUUCCUCUUAACUUGGAGGCAGGUCGUUUUGCUCUCCUUAGCUUUGCUGCUUGUUUCUCCAUCCUCCAGGCUCUCCUUGGCAGCUGUAGCAUCCUGAUCAGAAAUGCACGAGGUUUCUGAUUUGUCAGAGAGCAGCUUGUUCGAGGAGUCAGCUGCGCUUGAAUCCUCUGAGUUAGCUGAUGCUCGCUGAGUUGCGAUCAGAUAGUGCGCCACAGAUUUGUACCCAAGUCUGACAGCCUGCAAAAUGGAAAACAACCAUGUUCUCAGAACCACUGUAUCCAUUCAUAUAUGCAUACUAGCAACAUGAGAUCUAGUUCAUCAUUUAGCUUCUUCCUAUUAUUUUUAUCAGUCAUCAUGAUCCAAACAUGUGGGGCUAUGCUAGAGUCGAAACCUAACAAUAGCCACAUGAUCACCAAAGAGAGAUAAUAUUAUACAAUAUAGUAUAAAUUAACUGCAAUGAAUGCAUGAAGUUACUUCAGCUUCUAAUAAAAGUAUGGGAUGUCCAAGUGUAAAAUGUGUAUUUAUGUUAGUAUAUACACCUUCUUAUAUGCACAGCCAGUAGGGAACCAUCCUUUCUUAGUUCUACAUAUACUGCAAUUACAAAUGCCACGGCAAACUGGACACAUCCAGUUGGGAUUCUUCUUAGCUUCUAGCACAUUCUCACCAUACCUGCAUUGGUUACAAAAUGUCAAUCCAAAAUAGAUGAUUAAUCAAGUGCAUACACACAGGGAGAAAAGAAACAUGAGCUCAAUUUAGAAACAUGCAGAGUAUUUCAACAUUUUUCUACUAAAAGUAAGGGGACUUUGAAUGUUUUUUAUUGGUACAGACCUGCAACUGAAAUUUUCUAACAAAACUAGGCCAGUUUUCAACAAAGUUCUAUAUUGCAAUCCAAGUCCUACACAAAUUUCACAGGCUUCCAAAAAUUCAAAGAAAGAAAUAUAAUUUAAGAAUCAGUAAAUCUAUUUUGAAUUGUGAACCAUAAAUCAGAAAGUUUCCAUCAUAUUUCUGUUACUAAUACUUCCUCUUAUUUGACUAGCAAUAUCUAUGAAAAUAUAGUACAUAAAUGAAAAAGGUCAAAUAUUAUGGUAGUUUUCAUAAUGAAUUUAAUAAUGCAAUUACCCACAGCUCAUUAAUGCACAAUCGAUAAUUCUAUGCUUAGUUUUAUCAAGCAGCAAAACCCAUCAACAUUUAAUUAAGAAAUGAGAAUUUACUAAGAAAAAGCUCACCUCAUGUACAAACAAUCUCCACAGAACUGCCCUUGGACAAUUUGGCAUUUACAGCAGCUUGUGUGAUGACCAAGAGUUUUCUGUCUGUACAAUGAAAGCAUUUUACAUCAGGAAAAUAUGCCAAAAGGAAAUUCUGCAAUGCCAUGGAACAUACAAUGCAUACUGAGUCAUGACAACAACAACUCCUAUGUAACAGAUCAUAAAAACCUCCAAUCAAGGGAAGUAACUUGGCAUUCUUAUACAAUAUAGAAGGAACUUUUUAUUAAAUAUUUUAUUGGACUCUAGACUCAAGUGUUCACAUUGAUUAAUCUAGCAUGCAAAAAGUAAAUAGCAUUAGGAAAGUGUUACAAAACAUCAAAAUCUGACGCUGUAAAUUACCAUUAUUGAUAAAGUUGUAAAUUUAUUUUGUUCAUAUUGCUGUAAAUUAAGAUCACAUUACCCUUCUACCAAAAAAAUUAACAGUACAACAGAUAGAAAAGAAAACUGAUGAAAAACUACAGCAUUCCCAAAUAGCUAUUCCAGUAGAAACUUACCGGCACUGAUGACAGGUUUGGCCUCUCACUUGAUCAUAGAUGCGCUUACCAUCCUUGCCAUAACCAUCCACAAAGAGAGUCCAAGGAGUGUUACAUGUACCCAGAAGCUUCUCAUGCUCUUCUGUGUAAAUUUCUUCCUUGGCUCCAACCUCUAGUAAUAACUCAGUUCUUCCACCUUCAGCAUCUUUCUCCUUCUUCGGCUGAACUUCACAGUAGCUGACUGGUUCCACGCUCUUCAACCUAAAAAAACAGGGGUUUCAAGAUUGCUGCUAUAGUCAUGAAAGAAUUAAUCGAUGUACAAGUUCACGAUUGCAGGAAAUUUGCACGGACAAUGUAUCUUAAACUCAAGAAUUUGACAGGUGGCACGAGAAAUUUGAAGUACAAAAAUAGCUCAGAAUUUUACAAUGCCUCACGGGAAGACAUCCAAUCAGAUCCAUUCAACAUUGAAACGGCAAGCACAAAAGGAACAUAGAGAGAGCGAUAUUUAAUCCUGAAACAUGUGAGGGGUGGAAGAGAAGAACACUAAAAACAUCGCACCAACAAGAACUGCAGGGAAACUCAUUCAGACAGCGGGAUGAAAACUACUGUAGCAUCGGAACUAGUAAGCCGCAAAAGAUUACUGGAUCGAGGCACAGCUUCACGCAGACACAGUACCUAUACUCCGCAUAAAGGAACAGAUCUUGCAGCCGCUGCACGGGUUCGUUCCCCCAAGAAACGAGUCGGGGCGAUCAUAUCUAGCAACUCAAUAAGACGAUUCCCCCAAGAAACGAACAGAGAGUAUCAUAUCUAGCAACUCAAGAAGACGAUUCGAUCCGUACCUGAGCGACCUCCGCGCCGGCGGCGGCGGCGUCAGCUUCACCCUCGGCGCGGACCCCGGCUCCACGGGCUUCCGCCGCGGGCGCCCUCUGCCGGUAGCACCACCCCCGCCCGAGCCUCCGGCGGCGGCGGAUUGGGUGAGCGUCUGCGCGAGGUCGAGGAUGCCGAGCUUCUGCAUCCGCUCCAUGUUCUCCCGGAUCCGGGCCGCCCUCUCCCGCUCGUAGUCCCCUCCCGCCGCGUCCAGCGGGGACACCGGGCUCCCCGGCGCCUCCGCCGCGGCGGCGGGGGGAACCUUCGGCGGCCGGCCUCGCCGAGCCGGUGCCGGUGCCGGUGCCGGCGCCGGCGACGGGUCCGCGGUGGUGGCCAUGGCCGGAGACGCGGUCGGCGCGGGUUCUUGCGGCGGCGGCGGGGAGGGGAAGAUUUCUCCGAGGAAGGGGAGGGAACUGUUCCCAAUAGGAAAGUGGAGGGAACGGGGGUGGAGGCCGCAAGCGCAACGGUCAGAUUGGUGGCCGGGCCGCCGGGGUGUGGGCGUGGGUUUUAUGGGCGAGCUCGCCGGCGCUUGCUCCGGCACCCGCUGGUGGGGCCCGUCUCGGUUCCACCAGCACGGCUGACGCGUGGGACCGAGAGGCCCGCUAGCCGACGUCGGGCCCACCCGUCAGUUGCAGAGGGUGGGGAACGCGAGCGCGUCGCGGGCGCCCGUGGGGGCGUGGGUACGGAGCGUCGGGGCGCGCGCGAACGGGACGGGGGGGAGUGGAAGCGCGGGAUCGGCCAGCGGGUUUCCCGCCUAAAGCUUGUCGUCUCAGACAGGUGGGACCGGACCCGAGGGGGGGGGGGGCGGGAGGUGCGCGUGGGCGCACGCGAGGCCCGGCACGGAUGGGAUCGGCGGGGAUGGGACUGGAGGGGCGCGGGGCCGAUACGCGGCUCUCGGCUGGGUUAGGUCGCUGACAGGUGGGAUACCAGCGGGGAUGGUGGUGUGGGGGCGGUGAGGGAGGGUUGGGUCUCGCGUGAAGCGGUGGCCGAGCGGGGAGGCGGGAAGGGGAGGGCAGCGCGCGCGCGCAAGCUGCUAGCAGCAGUGUGCCAGGCCAGUGCGGCGCGGCACGCCACCACGGGCGACACAGGAGGCGAGGAGGUGGUAGCCUAGCUGGCUGUAGCUGCGUAGGCAACGGCGUGCUAUUUUGGGAAAUGGCUGGUCAGAUUGACGGGAGAUCUCGUGAAAUCGGGAGUGCAUGCGGGUCGUUCGGGCUGCAGGAUUCGAAUUUCGAGCUGAGGCGUUUCGUGACCGUUUUGUUUGUGGGUGCGAGUGGCCUCGGUUCAUGCCGGUCUCAACUCUCAAAGUUGGGCGGGCGGACCUCUUGAUCCGCUGGAGAUGCAAAGGCACGCUUUCAAUUCUUGGAUUUAGAAGAAACUCUAGAGAGGACCUUCGCGUAGGAGGUCAAGCGUAGAGGUGUAAACGGAUUGAAUACGGACAGAAAUCUGCACGUACGAUUAUAGAUAAUCUUUUUCUCGAAUUCAGAUUCGGGUAUGGAUAAUGUCCGCUGUGUAUAAAUGGAUAUCGACAAUAUAUAUAUAUAUAUAUAUAUAUAUAUAUAUAUAUAUAUAUAUAUAUAUAUACUUGAAGUAUCCAGAUAGCGGAUAUUAAAUAUGUGAUAUAUGAAUUCGGAUAUGGAGGAUUUUAACCCCUUCAAACGGAUCCUGAUUCGAGUACCGACUGAUAAUAUUGGUACCAUUUUUCACCCCUGCUUAAGUGCCUUGGGAUCCUUUAUUUCACACGCUGCAGAUAAUAUAUUUGCACAUGUGGGAUAGGAAAAAGAAUGGUCCGCUUGCUACUAAUGACCGAAGCUCACACAGAUGCAAUAAAGCUUUUGUCUCGCUUUUCGGCACAAUGACGAAGUGGGAGAUAGAGCUAUGAGAUUCGAAUACUUGGACUUUUUGCCUUGACUUUUGAUUUUAUCCAUUAUUCAGUAUCUUCAUGUAUGGCGCUAGUGAUGGAAUGCAUUAGUAAUUCUGGGGGCUAUCUACCAUCCUCUUUCUCGGCUAUCUACCAUCCUCUUUCUCAAAACCAUCCCCUUCAUUUCACUCUCUCUUCAUCUAAGCAUGUGUUUGGUUUAAAGACCAUGUAAAAUCAAGGGCGGAGCUAGGUAGUGAGUACUGGUGCGGCCGCACCAAAAAAAAAA
rnacentral:lncRNA from 1 species